rnacentral:lncRNA from 1 species
UUUUUUUUUUUUUUUCUCUUCCUCUAAGCUUUUUCUCUAUCCAGAAAAGCACCGCAUCCUCAAACUGCUUAUAAAAGUGCUUAUUUGGUUAGUUUUUUUUCACUAGCUGAUGAAACAAAGGCCAAAACGACAGCGGUGUUAUAUAGACAACAAAGUGUUGUAAAAUCCGAUGGUUAACAGAAGCCCGCAAUUUGUUGAUAAAAAAUAAAUAAAUAAAUAAAGGGUAAUGCAAUUCACACACCCCUUUUUACCUCCCACACAUCCUUAUUAAUUUUUAUCCAUUGAUCAUCUUCAAUUCAUUUGAUCCGACGGCCGGAAAUUAAGAAGGUGUGUGAGAAGUAAAAAUGGGUGUGGCUAGCACCACCCUAAAUAAAUAAACCAAAAGACCGCAAUUUUGACAUAAACCUAAUUAGCUGCUAAGGUAAGGUUAAGCCAAUAUAAGGGGUUUUUCACAAUAAGCCUCGGAAUACUCUCUUUAAUGAUUAGAUUACUGAACAUAAGCUCAAAAAGUUGAUAGAGGAUGUUACAAUGUGAUCGUCAAAGUGUUUCUCACUAAUAUUAACAGUUGUUAAGAGCUAACUUAUAACUUGUUUAAGGACUAAUUGAGUUUACCGAUCUUUCUUCGUUCUUGAGUGUGUGCCACGUGGAAUGAUGUUACUGCUAAGCAACAAGACAACAUGUCGUAAACAUUGGAUGAGGAUCCUCUUUGGGUCUUCUUUGUGAGGAUCUUAGGGAUUAAUUUAUUCUAGUCGUUUAUCGUACAGUUUGUAGCCAACUUUUGUUAGGUAUUAUUUGUGUUCAAUUUAAAUAAAAAUUUCAAAAUAAUUUAUUGCCGCAUAAUAUCUGAUGAACGGAUAGGAUAAAAUGAUCUCCUUCCAAGGGACUGUUUGGCAAGCAAAGCAGAUCAGAUUGGUAGUUUUAGUACAAAAGUAUUUGUAUUGUACCACUUUUCAAGUGCAUUUUGAAAAACACUUGGAAGUGCUUCAUAAACUAACAUCCAUCAAGUGCUUCUUUUCAAAAAACUUCUAUGAAUUAAAAGCUCUUCUAAACUUUUUGUCAAAGUCAGAGACAACCAAUUAUUUCAAACACCAAAUGAUUACAUUUAUUGAUGGAAUCAUGCCACAAUACUAUACUGAUCAUAUGCAUUGUGGAUGUCUGGAAGGUUAGAAUUCGUGGAGAAAUUAAACCACCUCUUUUGUUUCGUGUGCUCGAUGCAAGGAUGCAGAAGCAGCCCGAUGAUCACCGCAGCGAUGCUAACAGCCAUUACCUUUGGAGUAGCAAGAGCUAAAACUACAAAGAUUAACACCGUCGGAGGAAUGCAGAUCAAAAUUGCUCCCACUGUACCCACCGGUAUCUUAAAAGGCCGCGAUGCAGCUGGGUGUUUCAUCCUCAAUUUCACAAACGCAAUGAAUUCCAUUAUCAUUCCGAAGCAAUACAAGUAGUUCUCAGCAGCUACAAUCUCUUGGAAGCUCAACCAGGAAAGCAAGAUUACACCGGACGCAGAGAAUAAGAUUCCGGUAAGCGGUGUGCCGUAACGAGAUCUUUUGGCAAAGAUUGAAGGAAGCAUCCCACGUUCUGCCAUACCCAAAAGUUGAAACGAGUCGCUGCUCAUUUCAGCCACAAACAUACCCAUGUUUGACAAAGCAGAAGCUGCUAGGACCCAGGUUCUUAACCAUACACCUCCAAGCAUUUUAGCAAUAUCUGCAAAAUACCCAUCUGACCAUAGAUCACGUUCAACUGGAACAGCUCCGGUACCAAUCAGAAGAGGGAAAAUGUAUCCAACCACAACCAAGAUAAGGGCAUAAAAGAGAGAUUUCGGAAGAGUUGUACCAGGGUUUUCCACCUCCCCUGCAAGAGUACUAAUUGAAUCCCAGUAAUUAAGAUUCCAAAACAGCGUGUUCAAGUACAAAGUCCAAUUCACAGUCUCCAGGUUUACCACAAACCAAUUUGAAGGAUUUAGUUUGGGGAUUGCUAUAAAUCCCAUGAAUAUGAAAGGAAGAAGUGAAAACACCCCCAGUAAGAUAGCAGCCCAACCCACUAUUGUCAAACCCCUGUAGUUCAUGUAAGUGAGCAUUGCUGUCAAAACCAACACGGCAACUGUCCUUGGGAGACCGCUUUCUAAAGCCGGAAUUGCUGAUUUGAGAUAGUCAAGAAACAGAACAGGGUAUAGAGCGUUAUCAAUCACCCCACUAAGCCAUUUUACCCAUCCUUGCUGAAAGCCCCAGUACGGUCCCAAAGCCGAUGAGACCCAAACGACAUAUCCCCCAUUCUCAGGGAACAUAGUACCCAUUUCUGCAGUUAUCAAGGCCUCUGGAACACUCCAUAUGAUUGCAAAAACUAGAAAACCAAGAAGGGCUAAAAGGGGACCGGCUGCCUGGACACUAUCUUCGACACCAAAUGGACCUCCUGAGACCUCGUAGAAGAUCAAGAACACAAGAGGUAUAAUUGAAACCUUUUGAUACUUAUGUAAGUCGUGAGAGGAUCCUUCCCCCAAACGAGCAUACUCAGCAAUAUUGUUGUCCAACAUUUGCCUAAUAGGUGAGUUUCUAUGUUUCUGCGCAUAAUGUAGUAAACAUACUCUUACGAAAUGCCAUGGAUUACUGGAUUUCGACUGUUAAAGUGAAAAGGGAACCGAAUACUGCAGAAGCUAACAUUGUUCCUAGUUAUUAUAUCUAAAGCCAUCACUUUCAAGCAAAGGCAAUUACUUUCACAGUAAAAAAACACAUAAAUUUAACUGAAUUCACAACAGGAUUAAGAAAAACUAUACAAAAAGAGUAUAAUUUUCUAUAAUUCCAGAAUUCCAUUCAUUGGGAAGAAGAUAAAUUCCUUGUAAAGUCUUUGUCAUGCAACAAAUACAAAAUUGUUUACUCAAAUCACAAACGCUCAUUCCAUCAAGCAAUGAAUUUCCAGCCACAAAAUACAGGCAAACCGGCAAAAGAACCACAAAGCACAAACACCCACCAAAACUAUCACAUCAAAUUGAUAAAAACUAAACAAAAUAACAAUGUGGGUUCUCUCAAAGCAGCCAUAUAAAGCAAAAAUCUCACAUCCCAAUUAGGCAAAUUCCAAAUUAAUACAGCAUCAAUGAAUCAAUUAAAAAAAACCCAAUGGGGAAAUGUACCUCUCUUUCUGGCUUAACAAUCCACGACCGAUUUCAAGAACAACUCGGUGAAGAAACAAAAAAGGCCAAAAGGGGGGCGGGGGCGUUGAGUAAAGAAGAAGAAGAAGGAGGAGCUAACCAUGAAAAGGAGGCAAGAGAGAGAAGUGGCCUAAUCGGAUUUGCGGUGCUUUAUCGAUGCGUCAUGAUGUCAGAGAAGCGAGCAUCUGCGUCUCCACCACGCGUCGGUCUGAGUGGACGCACACGAAUCUGAUUCAGCUGUAGAGUGAGAGCGCUGCAUCGCCGACACAGUUGGACACGGCUGCAGAGAAAAACAAACACAGAUUUUCAAGUGUUGCGUUUAUUACAAGGAGGCAGAUUGUCUGCCUUUUGUUAUGGUGUCGUUACCAUUCUCUUCUAUAUUUAUACGUUCAUGGUUAAACCACGUUAAUAUUUUAUAUUAAUUUUUUAAUAAAAAUAAUAAGAUAAAAAAUGAUAAGAAUAUAAAAUAUUAACGUAAUUUAACUGUAAUCGUACAAAUAGAAGACGAUGGAAAAGACAUCAUAACAAGAGGGCAGACAAUCUGCCUCCUUAUUACAAGGACCGUUAGCAUAUGGAAUGUCGGAUAUGCAAAAGCAUGUUUAUAGGGUUUGAUUGAAAUGGAAAAAGGAGUUUUACUGAAGGUCGGGUUACCAACGAGACGUGGUUGAUUUUGGACCGUUAGUAACUACGAGUCUUAUAAUGACCUAUGGUUGAUAAUCCCCCACCUGUUUAACAUGCAUAAUAGUUUGUUAAAUAAUGCUAAUACUUAGACAUUUAGUAUCACGAGUUAGUGUUUUUUAAGUAAGAUGUAAUUUUGAAUCUCGUGAAUGACGAGUUCAAUGUUAAUUUAUUUUUUCCAUUAUUUAGUAUAAAGCAUCUUCAAUGCAAAAUAUAAAAUACCUUGAAAUUAGUAUCCCUUUAUAUAUUUUAGUUGGCUGUAAAACAUUCCAACGACGGAAUGUAAAAUCUAUUUCUCGUGUCUUUGUCACUGCAUUAUAAGCUCACCUAAUUCAUGCGGGAUAUUCCGAAGAUGAUCUAAAGGCUAUAAAUGUGUUUUGGCCCCCUUUACUAUUCAUUGGGUCACAUAAGUACAUUUCAUUUAAUUUUUAAGCUGGAAAAUAGAAAUCAAUAAAAUAUUGAAUACUUAUCACAGUUUGAUCUUGAAAUUGGACCUUCCAAUCAAAAUGGACCCUUAAAUAGAAAAUCAAUUAAUUUGAUUUCUAAAAAUGGAUCAUACAUAUCAAUUUGAUCAUUCCGUUAGCAUUUCAUCAAAUUUUAUGUUAGUGUGCUGAUGUGUCGCACAAGUAAGUUCUAUUUAUCCACUCAUAUGUCCGCUUUAGUAAAAUCUGCUUGUUUUUAUUUUUUGUUUCUUUUUUAUUUGUUUUAUCAAAAACUUGCUUGUUUAACCACGAGUAGGUGUUCCAGUUAUAAAAGACGGGUUGCGAGGCUUCCUUCAAACUAAAAACUAAAGGUCUUGGAUUCGAAACCCCAUGCUGGUGUGGAAGUCAAACUUGUGGCCAGGGGAAAGCUGAAAUGCCUCUGUGAGUCCUUCUGACUUUCGGGAGAAGUGGAUAACCGUGGCUUGCCACCAGUUGUUUCUUAAAAAAAAUAAAUAAAUAAAUAAAACUUGCUUGUUUGUUAGAUAUCUCUUUCAAGUUGUGCUCUCAUUUUUAAUGCCACUUAAUAUACAUGUUUGUUUGUUAGCUCCCCCUAUCUGUAUUUAUUGAAUUAAGUAGAAGGAGCAACAGACCAAAUACACAAAAUACAUGUUUUGGUACCUGUUGACCCUAAAAACUACCAAGCCUAUGUGGUGCGUAGGCUGAGUAAUUAAUAAGCUAACUAUGUCUUUCGAUUGUGUGCGGGGCAUGCCAACUCGACGGCUGAGCAGUAAAAUAUGUUGAUGUCACGUUGAGCGCGUUGCUGACUUCUUGAUUUUGUGACUGUGGCCGAGGAAAAAAUACAUCUCAGCCUUCAGAUUUUAGAGCCUGAAGACAAGGCUGCUAGUUCUGCGAAGUUCACAAAUCGUCGGUGCUGGGUUUGGUCACGAUGAUUAUAUUCGUGAGAGUAUAAGCACGCUGAACUGGCACCAGACUAUAUGGACAUAAAUACUCGAAAGAGAUGUAUGUCUUGAUGGUAAAUGUGGUUUGGCCGUCGGAAUGCCGAACUCUAAAAUGUACUUGUGAAUAUCCAAUCAUAAAACAACUUCGCGUUCAACGUGCCGAGCCUAGUAACCUGUAACACCUCACUUUGCCAAUAAGGCUGAUGACAUGACCUCUACUAACAAGGACUUGAAAAUCCUUGUUGACUAAGACUUGGAUAAAUAACCAGUCGGUCUCGAAGCAGUAUUGUUUAUCCAAACUGAAGGUGCUCAUUGAUCGGCUGAUUAUACUGCUCCAGUAUUGUUUAUCCAAACUAAAGAUGUCGCCAGUUGCCUUCACAGUGCUGUUUAUCCAAACUGAAGAUGUAUUGGCGAGAAGAAAAUGGGAGAGGAUAAAAUCUCAAAGGUUGUUGAGAAGUUUUGCGUAUAGCAAUUUGUGUGUUGAAUUGGAGGGCCUCAAUGUUGCCUGCAACUCUGUAUUUAUAGCAUCCAUCCUUUUGCUUGGCAUGACCUAAUAAUUUCUUGGAAACCAAUUGAAACUCAAACUCGUAGAAUUAAGGCUAAUCCGUGGCAUAGAUUGAAGCCUAUCUUCCAGAUGGUUGACUUUUCAAACAAAAUAAAAACCUAUCCCAUCACCCAUCCAAAAGCCUAUCUGUGGCAGACUUAUCCAUCAUAACCAAAAGCCUAGCCUACCUAGGCUUCUUACCUCAUCAUAAUUCCAUCAAAUCACUUCACCAAUUGAAUUCAUCAUGCACAUUUCCCCUAACGAAGACCAUGUACAUGCAUGAUGGUUCCUUCACCAAAUAAAACUCUAAAAGGUGAUUCUAAUUGAUGAAAUAUAAUCGCCAUAUCUCAAGAUAAAGCCACAUGCAACAACCCCAUUCACUCUAACACGUCCAUGAAUUCCAAGCCAAUUUGAAUUGUACCACCCACUUCAAUAAGACUUGGUUUUGAUAAUAAUUAGCCAUGUAGGAGAUUGCAUGCACCUGGGGCUUUGAUAUGAUGAGCCCAUUCAAAUGUCUUCGUGCAAUCCUUUGAAGACGGAUCAGAUCAUCUCUUUUCAAAACAAUCAAUUGGAUAUACCUAAUAUUAGGUUUAGAUAUCCUAAUAUAUAUUAAGAGAUAAUAUCAUAAUAUUAUUUUUCAAUAUUAAUUGAAAAUCAUUUCAACUAUUUUGUCAUUCAACUGUCUAAAAUUCUGCUCAUUCAACGACAUUGAUUACUUAGACCGAUGAUGUAAUUUUGAGUCCAAACAGUAACACAAACUAUGAAAUCUUGAAGUAAGAGACAAAACUUCAUAAAAAACAACCAAGGGGGCCCAUAUACACACAUCAUUAGAAUUUUAAAGCUGAAAAUAACAGACAAAGCAACCAUUUUGCAUAUUAAUCAAACUGAAAAAAACAAAAAAGUAAAGACUUGCUGUAUCUUGGAGAUUUGGACGAUGCCCACCGUCUUUUACCACAAUACCCAUUGUUAUGAGCUUCAAAGCUCAAGAUGAGGCCUGGGUAAAAAAUACCGAGAACCGAACCGAACCUGAUCGGUUCGGUUUUUUUUCGAUUCAUUCGUUAUGGGUACAAAAUCAGUUCGAUUUUUUGUGUAGUCGGUUCGGUUUCGGUUCUAUGUUCGGUACAUAACCGUACCGAUCAGUUUUUCAAUUAAAAUUGUUACAAUUUAUUGUGAUCAUCUCCUGAAAUAACUCUACAGCCUUGUUAGCAUAACCAUUCUUCGCAUAACCAGAUAUCAUAGCGUUCCACAGUAUUACGUUCGGCGUUUACAUCUGAUCAAAAAAUGAUUUGGCAGCCAUCACCUGCCCACUUUUUGCAUACAUUGCCGUGAGUGCAAUGAGCAAGUCAGGUUCAAAUUGAAGACCCAUUUUAAUCAAACAACCAUGAACAGAUGUCCCAUGUCCCAAGUCUUCUACAUCAGUAUAAGCUUUUAGAACACUAACAAGAACGAUCCAAUCCGGUUUCACAUUCAAUUUUCUCAUCAGACCAAAAAUUAUCAAAGCUUCCAAAGGCUGGCCAUUUUGGGCAUACCCCAAAAUCAUCGAAGUCCAGGAAACAACCGUCCUUUCACCUAAACCAUCAAACACAGCCCUAGCACGAUCUAUUCGACCACAUUUAGCAUACAACGCCACGAGACCAUUCUGCACAAAAACAUAUGAUUCAAACCCAUGUCUAAACACCUGUCCAUGAACCUGUCAACCCAUUUCGAAGUCCGGCAUGCCAUUGCAACCGUACCGAACCAAUACUUGGACCGAACCUAUUAGGUUCGGUACUAAAUCGGUACACCCAUUCGUACCGUACUGAACCGUACCAAAAUUUUACUACGGGUUUGGUUUCGGUACUACCUCGGUACCAAACCGUACCGAACCAUGCCCAGGCCUACUCAAGAUACCUUCGAAUUUUCUACUAAUUUGUUGAUUCCGCUGCUGAUUCUUCAUAUUCUCUCUGAGAUUCUAACCCUAGGAUGCCCACCGCCAACCCCAUAUACGUUCUUUGUGGCGCUCAUGCCUUCCUCUUCUAUCUAGCAACGAUUAGGUUUUGUUGUGGCAUAAAAUUACUUUUUUGCCUUCAGACAAUUGCCAUGUGUUGUGCACGUGAUCAAAAAAUAGAUGAAAAUUUUCAAAAUCUCACGUUAGAAGGGAAAAUUAACAAAUUAUAAAAGUUUAGAGAUAAUCGUUUAAAAUUAAAAUUAAAAAAAAAAAAUCGGCGAAUACCUUUCACGUUUUUAGAAAAGAGUUCCAUUUAUAAUUUUAUUACAUGGUGUUAGGAAUGUUCAACAUUAAUUUUUAACAAAAAUGCCACGAAAGGUGGUAUUCAUAGAUUUUGCAAAACCUAUUAAUUUCUAUGAGAAAUAUGUCAAAGUAAACAAGGAGGCAAGCCCCACCAUACUAUUGAGUUUCACAUGAUCUUUUGCACGUCAUAAUUAAAGGGAAGAGAUCCCUUCCAGAUCUCUCUCACCAAGUCUUAGGAAUUCGGAGAUCCGGACUCUUGAAAUUGAUCAAACGGUUACAAACAAGGGGUGCCUUUCUAAAAGUUAUAAUAAUUGUAACCGUUUGAUCAAAUUUCAAGGAUCCAAAUCUCCAGAUCCCUAGGACUUUGUGGGAGAAAUCCGAAGGGGAUCUCUUCCCAUAAUUAAAAUGUAUAAGCCAUUUGGACAAUUAAAGUCAGAAAAAAUUACUGAUGGAGCUCAGAAUGUAGCCAAAUGGAGUUUUGUUAUCUAUGUUGUCCAGGGAUGUCCUGCAUUAAUCUUAGGGCAACGAAAAUAAGUUUUAUGAGCAACAUUUUGUGAUGACGAAUGAAAUUAUUAAACUUUCACAUGGAUAUUUUAUGAGUCGAGCAAUUUCUUGUGUUUAGAAACAAUUUCACGGUUGCUUAUUGUUUUUGGGGGAUAGGCAACCCAAUCCACUUUUUCCUCCCCAAAUCACUCCAGCUCAUAUAAUUGGGCUCAAGGCGAGUCAGAUGGAGAAGUCAGGCAAUUAUCGCCUUGCCUAGCACCUUGCUUAUGUGACACAAGGCUCAGCCACAAUUUAAAUUAUUAGAAAAUUGUAAAAAUUAUAAAAAACUAAUUAAAAAUAUAAAAAGUAUAUAUAUAUAUAUAUAUAUAUAUAUAUAUAUUAUAAAAUUUUGUGUGUGUAUAAAUACCUAAUCAUGUUCUUCCACUUUACACUACAUUUAAAUAUUUUCAAAUACUUUCAACCUUUAUUACUAUCCAAAAUUAAAAAUAAAGUUAUAUUUUAUUAUUUUACAAAGUAAAAAAAAAUACUAAUAUUUUAAUAAAAUUCUUUGAGCUAUUCAGUUUACAGGUGAAGAUGCACUUGCAUAAUUACUGUUCACUUAAAGGAAUUGAGUUGCAUGUGAGGGCCUUACUACACUGAAAGUGCUCUAAUGGAUGCGGUAGCUCUACCAAAUAAAGGGUUGAGGAAAGAGAAAAAAAGAAAAAGAAAGAGAGAGAGAGAGAGAGAGAGAGAGAGAGAGAGAGAGUAAAGGUAAUGCUAGAUAAAUUAAAUUUGAAAACUAAAGAAUAUGGAAGUUGAUGAUUGGUUUAUUACUUAAACAUUAAUAAACGUAUUCAUUCUUAUGGUGACACAUCUUUUAGUUUGCAAAUUUUAUUUCUAAAUUUAGUCUCACUAACAUUACCAUAAAUAAUAAAAGGGUAAAUUACAUUUUACCCCCUCAUGUUUGGGGUCAAUUGCAACCCCAUACAACAUCUUUAAAACAUUUCAAUUUCAUACAUUUACUUAUCAUUUUAUUUUAAUUUCAUGCAUCCAUUAGAAAAUCCGUUAAGUAAAUCGUUAAGUGAUGACGUGGCAAAUAUGAAAUCCACAUUUGUGCUGACAUGGUUGCCAAAUUUGUACCACGUGGUAAAAAAAACAUUUUUUUAUGCAUUUAAAAUAUAAUAAUUUACCCUAUUAAAAAAAAUCCCCCCCCAAGACCCACCUUCUCCUUCUCCUCUACUCUCUUCACCUCCCAUCCCACCCAAAAAACCCACACCAUCCCACCCACCCCCACCUCUCCUGCAACCCCCACCCCUACCCCACCCCCACCCAAAACCCAAAAAAAACCCACCUAUUUCCAGCAACCUCAUCCAUCUAUUUCUCUUCCUCAUUCUCUCAUUCUAACCUCGAAUUGUUGUCAAUCGGACCCACGAGAUGCAACCACCCCUACCCCACCCAAAACCCAAAAAAACCCACUAUUUCCGAUGACCUCCUCUAUCUCCUUCUCUUCCUCAUUCUCUCAUUCUAAUCUCGAAUUGUCGUUGAUUGGACCCAUGAGAUGCAUCCACCAACGACAUCGGAAUGGGAUUUUGGUAUUUGACAAUCAGGGUUUUUGGUUGAUUACAAAUAAUCUGGGCAUGUCAUCACUUAACGGUUUACUUAACGGAUUUUCUAACGGAUGUAUGAAAUUGAAAUAAAAUGAGAAGCAAAUGUAUAAAAUUAAAAUGUUUUAAAGAUGUUGUAUGAGGUUGCAAUCGACCACAAACCUAAGGGGUAAAAUGUAAUUUAUCUAUAAUAAAAAUGGGAGAAAUGUGGGCCAGUAUGCCAUGUGGCAACCAAGAAACGGUCACAUCAAGAUGGUGCAGUUAAAGGAUUUGGAUCAUCUCCUAAGCAAGGGGUCUAAAUCCUCUUGACCCAAUAACACGGGCAGUUAGAUUUUAAUCGAACGACUACAAUUAUUAUAACUUUUAGAUGGGUCCCCUGUUUGUAGUCGUUGGAUCAAAAUCCAACGAUCCGUGUUAUUGGGUCAGGAGGAUUUGCACCCCCUACUUAGGAGAGGAUCCAAAUCCGCUGUUAAAUAGGCCAAAACACCCCACAACAUAAGCUACUUGACGGUCUUGGAUGGAAUUAACGACGAUAGGGUAAAGUGAAAGGAGGCAGAUUGUCUGCCCUCAUGUUUGGGUGCCCUUCCUAUCCCCUCCUAUUUGUGAGGUCAUGGUUAAGCUACGUCAACAUUUUAUAUUCUUAUUGCUUUUUGUCUUAUUAUCUCUAUAAAAAAAAUAAUAUAAAACGUUGACGUGGCUUAACCAUGACCGCACAAAAUAUGAGGGGAUGAGAAGGGUACCUAAAUAGAAGGGCAAACAAUCUGCCUCCAAAGCGAAAGAAACCUGUUUGGACUGAAAAUAUCCUAAAAUACGGGGCCUAAAAGCUUUCUUCCGAAGUCGACAAUUUAAGAUGGUUUUGGUCAUUUUUGGAGGGUAGCCUUAACUGGCUUAAGGAUAGUUAAGGGCAAACUUGUCUUUUUAUUUUAUUUAAUUUUUUUAAACAAAUGGUAUUAUUUACAUUAAGAGGGAGGGUUGGACUUAGUCUCAUCAUGAGUUAUCAACAAUGUGAUUCAAAUUUGUUUUUGGCGAGAAUCAAAUCUAAGACCUUUCACUUACAAGUAAAGAGGAACACCACUAUAUUGUAGUACUAAGUGACAAGGGGAAACUUGUCUUUGGGUAGUGAAAUUUCAUGUGGCAUAGAGGUAUCAUUGAUUGUAGACCACAAAUGAAGACGUUUUGGUGGGGAUGAUGAAUGCUAGGGUUUGUCACGAAAUACUUUAAAUAAAAGAGUAGGAGAAAUAAAAAGAGACACUCAAACAAUCAAUCCAACAACAAUUCUUAAAAACUAAUGGAGACAACUUCUUCAUUAAAACCUUUAUCAAAUUAAGCCAGAGAUUUCUUAGUGUGUCGAGAACACGGCUAGGUAGAUCAAGUGUCAUUCUCCAAUCUUUUGAAUGUGAAAGCCCUCAUUCAUUUCAUCAUAGUUUUUUUUUUGGGUCAAUUAUUCCUCUUUAUGAAUGUCCAUCUUGUAUUAGCUUUUGUUAUAUUAGUGCGACUCUCUCUAAAUCAACUAUUAUCAUUUCAAUACAAGAACCAGGGGCGGAUCUAUUAAGGAACCAGGGUGGUCCCGGGACCACCCGAAGCUUGGAAAAAUGGCUGUGAGGAUCUUCAAGGACCACCCUAGUCUGGGCAGUGAUGGAGAAGAACAGCAACCAUGGUGGCUGCUGCACGCUGUGCUUUUCAGAAAGAGGAAGAAGAAAGCCAAAUUUUUUUUCAAAAUGACUUGGCCAAAACGACGUCGUUUUAAGCCAAGUCAUUAAAAAAGUUUGAAACCUCACUCACGUGAGAACCCUCACACGAUCAACUCCUUCAGCAAUCAAAACCUUCACUUCAAUAAUACCUAAUUAUGCCGCUUGGCCCGCUCCUGUUCCUUAAGCAUCGAUCAACUCUCUGCUGCACCGCACUCUAGUUUAUGUUCAUCGUUGCAACUUGCACCGAUGAGCGGGGCAACGACAUCUCUAUUCUCCGUGUAAAGCUCUGGUCUGGACUCUGGAGGCUAGCUGCUAGUCCUCUUCUUCUUGGUCGAAGAGGUUUGUACUUUGUAAUUGUACUCUCUUUGACUCUGUGAAGUCUUUGUCCAUUAAAUAAUUUUGCCAUCCACAGAUCCACUAUCUGAUAGUGUUAUUGUGUCUGUGUUAGUAUAUAUGAAUUGAUAGGGAUUUUUACUACUUAUGUGAACGAGCUUAAAUCUCCUAUUUUACUUGCAAGAAUCACAAGGUUAUUGUAGUAUAAACGGAUUUCGCAAGGUCAUCACCACAGGGAUUAUUAAAUAAUUCGAACUAAUCAGAUUUCAUUUAAUUAUUGUAAAGUAGAAAUUGAAGUGAUUGAUUUUAUAACCUAAUUAAAAUAAAAAAACGAAUUUAAUGAAUUAAAAUAAACAAUCUGCAGGACUAGAGAAGAAAACAGUUCUGAGAAAAUCAAAUUAAGAAAGCACUAGGGUUCCACCAUCACCUAGCAAUCCUAUGAAUUUUUACCCAUUACUUAUGAUCUAUACAUGCUACUUUGAAGGUUAGAUUUUCCUAAUUCAUAUUCUACUUGGAACCUCCAACAUAGAACGUAUAUCUAACAUGCAACCCGUCCGGACGUUCGGAUCAAAUCUGAACAUGAAAGACUCAUUAUGCUUUAUGAAAAUCCUUUGAAAAACCAUGCAAUCCUUAAGACGUGAUAUUCAUCCUAAGUGAAAUUACAAUUAUUAAUCACAAGAAGCCAGCGUCAAUUUCAGGGAACCUUCCGACCAAAAUUGCAUCAAAUUACUUUUCUAAAAAUCCUAAUGGUGAUCAGGCAUUAAAAACAAUUAGAUAGUUUUUAUCCCGGUGAUUAACAAUUCAAAGUACGCAUGCAAUCAAUCAUAAGAAAUUAAAUAAAAAUCACAUAUUCAUGCUAAGGCUCAAGUCUUCGCCCUAGCAAUAGAAAUUAGUUCCGCAUAUUCAUAAUUGAAAUCAUAGAAAAUAUAUUCAAGAAAAUGAUUGAAAGCACCUUCAAGUAAAAAGUCUUCAAAACCCUAACAAUUCUCUCUGUCUCCCCAAAAUUGCAUAAAAGAAAGCGUGGUGAAAAAUUGUAGACGGCGAAGCAAUAUAUUUGCUAAGCCACCACCACAAACCCUAGCCAACUAAAAUUAAUAAAAACCCUAAAUAAAAAUAGUAAAAUUCGUCUAAAAUCUGAACAGCCACGUUUUGGCCCAUAAGCUGCUCCAAAACUGGCCCAAUAUAGCUGGAUUUAAUGUUUGGGAUAUUCUGAACACUUUUCCAGAAGGCCACAAACCCAUCCGAGGUCAUCUUGGGCUCCAAAAACGCAAUUUAAGCCUAAAAACGUCAUUUUCCAGCACUGCGCACUGCUUCUUUAUUUCAUCGCCAGAAAAUAACCGCUUGGUGGAAAAAUUCCAAAUUUUGAUACAAUCAAGCUAAGUGACUCACGAACGUCCUCCAACUGGAAUUACUCCAAAAUUCAUCCAUUUGGUCCUGUUUUGCUCCAGAGGAAGUCGAAAGUCCUAUAUUGAAAAUACAAUUCAAAGUAUCAAAAUUCUUCCAAUAUAUUAACCAAAAUAUACUAAGAUUAGAGUAAAAUAUAUAAUAUAAAAUAUACUCAUCAUGAAUCAUGAAUGUGUAGGUGGGUAGGGUUCGGGAGCAGAGGAAAUUUAUGCUUAUGAAAUGUUUGAUCUUUAGUUUGAAAGAGAGUAGAUUAACUAAAGAAGUGGUAGUGUGUGUAACGUGUUGGCUGUAUAUUGUGAAUUGGAGCGUAGAACUAGUUUCUGAUGUUAAAUGGGUGGCUGAAGAUCGGUGCUUUCUUUCGAUAUUCGUUUCGUAUUUUUGUGUAAUGUGUUGGCUAUACACAUUAAGGGAUUGAACCUGCUUUGUUACUCUCUGUAAUUUUGUCUUCCAAUUGUGUGGCAUUUGGCUGAGUGUAAUAAGUGCAUACUUUUCAAUGAAGGCCAAUGAACAGAGCAUCACUAAAAUGCCCUAAUUAGAACAAAACCUUUGGUUACACCGUGUACACUCCAAUUCAAAAUGAGAACUUAAAUUUAGUGGCUGUCUUUACUAAUUACGAUGGACUUUUUACACAGAAUUUCACAUACUAGUUGUUAUCAAUUAGUUGAACACUCCAAUUCAAAAUGAGAACUUAAAUUUAAGCAGGUUCUAUUCUACGAUAUUUGUCUCAUAUGUUUUUGUGUAAUGUAUUGUGAAUUGGAGUGUACAACUAGUUUGUGAUCCUAAAAGGGUGUGUAAAAAUCUGUGCUUUCUUUCGAUAUUGUUUCCGUGCUUGUUUUAUGAACUUGAGGUGGUAGUGGAAUUGCAGGGACUAUUUUGUAGAGUAUAGUGAGUUGAUCAAGCUGCAGCCUUUGCCUUUGGAAGGUGUAAACUAUAUAUUCUACAAUCUGUGCGUUUCUCACAAGUGCAAGGUAUGUUGGGACCACCCCAAGUUAAAAUCCUGAAUCCGCCACUGACAAGAACUAAAGCAAUUUCUCUCUUUUUUAUUUAUUUUUAUUUUAUUUUAUUUAAUAUUUUAUUUUACCUCUUUGAAUCAAAACUUGAGCUCCUAGUAUUAAAGCUUUAGUUCAACAUUUAUAUAUUGUGAUUUAAUCAUCUACAUAAGUAAAGUCCUUAAUAGAAAAGACAAGGCUAAAUAGCCAAAAUGGUUCUUGAGAUUGCAUAACUUAUCACUUUGGUCCAUAACAUUUCAAAUCGAGUCCCUGAGAUUGUCCACCAUCCAUCAUUUUGGUCAUUCUGUUAAAAACUCUGUUAAGUGUCCCGGAGCUCUUGGCCGGAAGUUUGGGCAAUUUUCAAAGCUUCGUAACUCAAUCGUUUCUUAACCAAAUUCGACCCAUACUAUAUCAAAAUGAAGAUAGGAAAGUGUAGAAUAAGAUUAUACCUAUUUGGAAGCCCAAUGGAUGCCAGAGAUGGCUGGAAAAUAGCCUCAAAGUUGACCGGUCCGAGGGAAAACUGGAAAACUCGUCGGAAACUGGGUAAACUUUAAACGUUCAUAACUUCUUUAAUACUCAACGAAAUCAAGUGAUUCAAAAACGAAAAUCAUACUUCUUGAUGAGAUGAAGAUAAUGGUACCUUUGUAGAUUGCUAAAUCGUCGUGGUUUGGCCAGAAAACAGCUCGAAAAUGGCUAACUUUGAGACCAAGAUAGCCACUUUCGAGCCGUUUUUUCGCCCAAACCACGGCGAUUUAGCCAUCGAAAAAGGGUAUCAUUAUCUUCAUCUCAUCAAGAAGUAUGAUUUUCGUUUUUGAAUCACUUGAUUUCGUUGAGAGUAUUAAAGAAGUUAUGAACGUUUAAAGUUUACCUAGUUUCCGGUGAGUUUUUCCAGUUUUGCUUCGGACCAAUCAAUUUUGAGACAUUUUCCGGCUAUCUUCGGCAGACAUUGGGCUUCUAAAUAGGUAUAAUCUUAUUCUACACUUUCCUAUCUUCAUUUUGAUAUAUUAUGGAUCGAAUUUGGUUAAGAAACGAUUGAGUUACAAAGCUUUGAAAAUUGUCCAAACUUCCAGCCAAGAGCUCCGGGACACUUAACGGAGUUUUUAACAAAAUGACCAAAAUGAUGGAUGGUGGACAAUUUCAGAGACCACUUUUAUCGAUUUGAAAUGUUAGAGACCAAAGUGAUGAGUUAUGCAAACUCAGAGACCAUUUUGGCUAUUUAGCCGAAAAGAUAAAGAAAUAAUCUAAAGUUGAGCCACUCUCAGUAAAUGUUACUAUCUUUUGGUUAGAGGUGAAACAAAGGCAGUUUCUAUCACAUACACGCUAUCUACUGCAACAACUAGUGGUGACACACAAGACCCAUGAGAAAUUUAGGGGCGAACAAAACGAUUUUUCAAUUUUAAAGAGCAAAAUGAGACUCAAAUUCUAUCUUAAGCGGCGAUAAAUAUCUAGCGGACCAAAAUGUGAGUUUGUGAGAAUUUGGGCUCCACUUCACUAUUUUCAUGGGGUCGACACCUUUGAGUUUAUCCAAAAUAGGUCUGAUAUAUUGUAUUCUUUUUUAAAUUUUAUAUUGCAUUUUACCAAAAUAAUAAUAAUUUAUAUUGCAUUGAACAACCUUGUGCAACCUAAAGUUACACUUUAUACUUUCUCAUGACUUUAUACAAUUCAUUAAUCUAAAUCCAACCAUUAAAAAAAUAAGCCUAUCGAUUCAACGGCUAAUAAAUUUUUUUUUAUUAAAUAUAAAUUCAUAUGAUAAAAUUUUCGGUGAAGAAAUAAUUUUCUUCUACUAGGAAAAAAAAAAAUCGGUGGCAACUGGCAAUCAUUGUAUGGAGUCUGGAGUGAGAAUUGUUGACCUAAAAAUAUAAAUCUAAUUCGUCUAUUUUUUUUAAUAAACGAUAUUAUUUACUAAAAGAAAAUGAGCUUAGUUGAAUAAUAAACUAUUAAUAAUAUUGUUCAAGUUCUCUUUUAGUGAAAAUUGAACAUAAAAAGAAGAAUAUCACUAGAUUAUAUUACGAAAGGCUUCUUAGAAAAAUUUAAAUUCAAGAAUUAAAAAAGGAGAAUUUAUAGUGGACCGUUCAUAAAUCUAAUUGAAUAUACAACCAAAAACAACGAAGCAGAAAUAAAAUUUCAUUCGCAAGUAGUCCUUUGCCACAUGUAUAAAAAGAAGUUGAGAUCUUGCAUGAUGGCAGAGGGGAUUCGAAUUUUAUCGUUAACUAAUUUAACAAAAUCAAUGGUUUGAUAAAAAUAAAAGGGAAAGAAAUUUCAUUGACUCAAUCCAAUAGUAACUAGACACGUGCCGUCCCCACAUGGAUCCACCCCCAGGUUAGAGACUGAUUGUAUGAAUUACAGAAAAAAGGUUUAGCAUUUAAUGCACAACUUUGGUGCAUGAAGUAUAUGCAGCACCACCCAUUGUGAAAUAUACAACUUAUGAAUCAUGAAUACUGACGACGCUAAAGAUCGAAUUGUACUAAAAAUCGCAAUGCACGAUGAUAGGUGUUGUGCUAGACCAACCCAACAAGAGUUCUUAACCUUCUUUUGGAAGAAACGAAAGCAAAAUAAUUUUCUGGAAAAGUUCCAAGGACACCAUCUUAACUGUUCAUGUUCAAUUACUUAAACUACAGUAUGGUAAUAUUCCUCUUCACUUGUAAGUGUGAGGUAUUAAGUUCGAAUUUCGUAGAUCACGAAUUCGAUAUCGAAUUAGGUUGUCCAUUGUGUGACUUCCGAACUCUCUUCUUAAUGUAAAAUAUAUCGUUGUACUAAAAGAUCUGACAGAAGAAUGAAAAUUCUAAUUGAAAAUUACUAUCGUUGAAACCGUAUUUUGUUUAAAAAAGUUAAGAGAAUAUGUUGAUUUAUUAAAGAGAAUAUAUAGAUUUGUUAAAAAAAAAAAAGUAAACAAGUAUUCGCGCAAAUGGUUGAUCAUGCCAUCUUACUUGCCAAUAUUCUUAUAUUCUCACAAAGGUAAGGUUACUAUCGUACGAACUCAUUUAUAAUGUUUGCCGAUAUUUUUGUCUAUCAGAAUAUGAAAUUUAAGAAACUGUUUCUACUACAACAACGGGUUGUAUUGUUCUUUGUUAAGAUGUUGUGACACAACAAAAUCAUGUGACCACCAAAAACUUAGUGAUUAAGUAUCAAAUCUUUCGUAAAAAUUAACAUAUGCUCACAUACAAAGUGUUUGUGAAAGGUUUUAAUUUUAUUUUAAAAAUAAAAUAAGAGAAGAGAGAAUGUGGGACUGGAAAGAGAGGUUAUUUUUAUUUUUUAAUUAGAAUUCAAAUAUGUAUAGCUUAAAAAAAAAUUUAAUGGUGUAAAAUUACAUUAUUAUCGGUUUUUUUUUAUUUAUCUUCAAAUUUAAUUAUAGUGUUAGAAUGAUAUUUCAUGAAAUUUUACAAUAAAAGGUCUAUUAAUAUAUAAUUUAAAUUUCCAAUUUCUCUCUACAAUUUUCAUUUUUCAAGUUUUUACUUCACACUCUAUACUUUUCUUCUCCACUCUCUUACUCUCUCCUUUUAUUUUCUGGAAAAGAUUCAAGGAUUUUCAGAACUAAUUGGAAAAAUAUUCCAUUUAAAUGGAAGUUUAACUGAUUACAACAUCGAUCUCAUGGAAAACUAUUGAAUUAAAACGAGUCUUGCUGUGGAUGAGUCGAUGACCCAUUAAUUCAGGGAAUUCAUAAUUUAUUUUUCAUUUAAAAAAAAUUCGGCAAAGGAGACUGAAUAAUUUAACAUCAAUUAGUAACCAUAAGAAGUAAUAGCAUCGCAACACAUAAUCCCCAAUCGAAGAGAUUCAAUCAUUCAAAAAGUGAAAUUCAUAUAUAAAAUCCAAGCAAACAAACACCCCUACAUCGUUUUUACAUCAAAAUAAGUACUACAAACGGAAAAUUAGACAUAAAUAAUCAGCCCUUCCUCCACGAAUUUCCUAAAUAAUAGAGAUGGAUCAGCGUCUGAUGUGCUUAACCCUGAACCAGCCCUUCUUCCACGAAUUUCCGACGAUCCUCACUCCUUUGUUCACCAAGUGUUUCAGCUCCCUCACCUUGUUCCCCAACCCUGCCAUUCUUUCUUUCUACUUUCUAGAGAGAGAAACCACCUCAAGUUUUAGAGAGAGAGAAAGAGAGCAGCAGAGAGAAAGAGAGUAGAGAGAAUGGUUUGGUUUCGCGGGGUUUUAUGGGGGAACCAUGGCGGUGCUGCUGCUGUUAGAAGAGGAGGUGCUGUUAUUGUGUGUUGGCACGUCUCUUUUGAGAAGGGAGCCGCGUCGGAUCCAACACGCGUCAUUACGUGGCGGAAAUCCAACGGAGAAUGGUUUAAUCGUGUCAAUGCGUGAUUAGCCGACGUUCAUUGCGGGAUAAGAAUAAGGAUGAACUGGCAUGUGACAUAUGCGGCUUUAAUAAAUUGUAAAAGAUUUGUUGAAUACCUAAAAGAAACAUGGUUUCAUUAUAUUUCAAUACUUCGUAUAAACACACUUACUUAAACAAAAUAUAAUAGAUUUAUUUAAAUCCGCCUGGACACCGCUAAACGUUAAGCUGUAGCUCGCCACCGAUUAGCGCCUAGUGUGUGUUUUAGAACCAUGGCCUCCUCUGAUGUGCUUAACCCUGAACCAGCCCUUCCUCCACGAAUUUCCGACGACCCUCACUCCUCUGUUCACAAUGUGUUUCAGCUCCCUCACCUUGUUCCCCAACCCUGCCAUUCUUUCUACUUGGAGAGAGAAACCACCUAAAAGUUUUAGAGUGAGAAAGAGAGCGGAGAGAAAGAGAGUAGAGAGAAAGGUUUGGUUUCGCGGGGUUUUAUGGGGGAACAAUGGCGGUGCUGCUGCGGUUAGAAGAGGAGGUGCUGUAAUUGUGUGUUGGUCACGUCUCUUUUGAAAAGGGGGCCGCCUCGGAUCCAACUCACGCAUCACACGUGGCGGAAAUCCAACGGAGAUGGUUUAAUCGUAAUCAAUGCGUGAUUAGCCGACGUUAAUUGCAGGGUAAGAAUAAGGAUGACUUUAUUUUAUUAUAUGGGACCACAACCGUUUGUAAUUUAUUUGGAGUUUUAGUCGACACGAAGUGGUGGGUCUUGAGUAAGGUAUAAAAUAAUGAUGAUAUCGAAAAUAUCGGUAGUUCAAAAACACGGAAAUUUGAAUGAAAAUAUCGGAAUAUUAUCGAUAUUGAUAAAAAUUGAAUUAAAACCACGGAAAUUGUAAGAAAAACUUGGAAAUUUUUAUUGAAACUUUGCAGGAUGUUUAUUUAGUCAAUUAUCUAUUAGUUUAUCACAAAAAAAUGGAAGGAAAUGCAUUGCAUGAUAGAUAUAACUGAUUUAAGUUGAUUAUAUAGCGAGCUGACAAACAUUGUGAGUGUAGAAAAUAUGUAAUAAUUAAUGAAAAAAGUUUAAACACACCAUAAUCAUUUAUAUAUAAUGAAUUAGUACAAUAUUUUAUACUUUAUACAUUGCAUGGUAAGAUACAUGAGUGACUUAGCAAGGUCUAAAAUAUCGAUGAUAUCGGAAAUAUCGGUAGUCUAAAAACACGGAAAUUUCGAUGGAAAUAUCGGGAUAUUAUGGAUAUUUUAGACCAUGACUCUUGAGUUGCUCAUAAGUUUCGAAUCGUUGCUACAGUACGGUGUCCAAUUCAAAAUGGAGAUGGAUUGUCUACCCUCCCAUCUCAUGCCCUUCUCAUUCCCUCAUAUUUUCUGUGGUCACGGUUAAGCCACGUUAACAUUUUAUAUUGAUUUUUUUUAUAGAAAUAAUAAGACAAAAAGUAAUGAGAAUAUAAAAUGUUGACGUGGCUUAAUCGUGACCACAAAAAUAGAAGAUGAUGAGAAGGGCAUCAAAUGGGGAGGGGAGACAAUUCAUCUCCAUUCAAAAUAACUUGAUGAAGUUGUAGGCCAUGAUCAAAAAAGAAAAAGAAAAAAUACAUUUAAUCUAAAUUAGUUUUUCUUAAUUAAAAAUAAUUAAACAUGGGCAUGUUCCAACUUUGAGAAAAUAAAAAUUGUUACAAGUUAAAUACUUAAUGCUACAUUGAGUAGAACCAAGUGAAGGUGGUGGGUGAAUCUGGUGGUGGGUUAUAGUAGUUAGAUUUCUUUCUUUUUAAUUCUUUACGUUAUGAAUUCAAACUUUUUUCUUUUCCCUUUAUGAUGCGAUUGAUACGCAAAAAAGAGUUUGUGGGAAUAAUUUUCCAUGACUUUUCCUAAGGCAUGAAAAAUACAUUUCUCCAUUUUCACAUUUGGUGAAGUUGGAAAAUGAAAUAGGAAAGAGAGAGAUAAUUUAAUCUUAUACCGUAAACCAAUCUUAUCAUGACAUAACUUUGACAAAAGGUCCAAUGUUAUACAAUAAAUAAAGUACAUUAGUAAAGAACCUUAUCUUUAGGUCAUGUUGGAAAGCAAGUAUACAUGUGCAAGCACUAAUCAUGAUACAAAUCUAGGGCCUUCCUGGAUGGACUGACCUCUGAUUGAUUUACUCUGGUUAUUUCCCACUAACUUCCUCCUUCAUUCGAAGAAGUCACCAUCAAUGAAACUAGUGAAAAGUUGUACACAGAAGAGAAGUGCAAAAUGGGUAAGGACGAAGACUUUGGAAGCAAAAGACGCACCAAUCACUGAUUGGCUCUCUUCCAGCCCUAUUGGAAUGGUUUAAACUUUAGGAAAACUAAUGAAAAUGGCUUGAAAACUUUGAGUUUUAAUGAUAAGGACAAAAUAAAGGGUAAAGUGAAUAGUACCAGGAUUGACUUUUUAGUGUAAAAAUGUGGUUUUUCGUUAAAAUGAACAGUACCGAGAGUUUUUCGUUAAAGUUCCCUUAAAUUUUUUGUAACAAAAGAGGUGUGCAAAAACCGUUGUGGCGUAACCCUAUUCUAUCAUGUGGAUGUUAGUGGGGAAAUGACUUUGUGACCUGUAUCCAUAUACAAAGGGAAGAGGUUGGCAAAUAGAGAAAAGAAGAAUAUGAUGAUUCCUUCAAAUCACAUAUUUCUGUUACAGAACAUAAUUAUGACUUGUUGAAAUCACCAUGGUCCAUGGCCCCAUUCAAACUUCAUCAUAACAGCUUCAAAUUAAAGAAUGCCAGUUGCCAAUGAUAUUCUAUCAUUCUGUUAUUCCAGGCUUAAAUAGUGUUUAAAGUAUCAAUAAAAGUAAAAAUAUCAGUAUGCAAAUUUAAAGAAAUAUCGAUAAUGGUUGACUUCGACGGAAAUUAUGGAAUUUUUCAACGGAAUAUGUAUAUCAACACUUUCAAAUUUAGUCAAAAUUAGAGAAAAUUUUCUCAAAAAAGUUCGAACGUUUGAAAUUUGUAAUGAGUUGUGGCAAAAUUUAUUUAGUAAAUAUGGUAAAUAUAGUCGAUAUUAAUUGAUUUUCCCAUAUCUCGCCGAUAUAGAGUGAAGUUUUCAUUUCACCUAUCCCUUUUCGCAUCGGUCCUUGAUUUUUUGAAUAUUUUGACAGAAAUAUCUACAAUUUGGUGGAAACUUUAAAGAAUGACUACAAAUGGCUAACGAAUAGUUUAUGCACUUUAUUUUACAAAUUGGGUUCAACCAAAGACGCUUUGGCCGAGUGGUUAAGGCGUGUGCCUGCUAAGUACAUGGGGUUUCCCCGCGAGAGUUCGAAUCUCUCAGGCGUCGUUUCUUUUUACCAUUUUCUGGAAUUUGGUGAGCAAUUGCUUAGUGGGGGAGGGUUGGGGUCGGUGGCUGGAAGGCCAGGGUGGUUGUUAUUUUUUAUUAUUUAUAUUUAAUUUUCAGUUUUUAUUUUCUAAUUAAUUUUAUGAUAAUUUAACAAACUAACAAUGUUAAAUUUUGAGUUAACUUGAACGACCAGUGUCAAAUGACUAGAAAAGAGACACAAAUGAGACACGGAAUUUAGAACAGCAAAUCAUCGAGCCUGACGUUUAGGCUUAGGGAAAGGAAGAGAGAGAACAAGGAGAUGAUGUGUAUUUUUUCUAUUGGUCGUGCUUUGAGCUUAAGUCUACAUCUCCUCAUUAUAUCAUAAAAUAGCGAUAUUUAUGCACCAACUUGACAAGGAAUAUUAGCAUUAGUCUAAACUAGAAUAGAAAUGUAGUUAUUUUGUUCACUUGUUGGAGCCAGUCGGUUUAUGUUAUUGAAACUGAAAGGUUCAAAUAUAGUGGGAGUUACUUAAAGUGGUUACAAAAUCGAGUGAGAGCUCAAGUUUCCGGUCCAAGAAUAAGAACAUCCAAGUACAUAUCCAAUGAUGAACAACUGUAAGAAAUUCUCACCAGAUGAGUGAGCUGCACUAAAAAUAGCCGAGCUUUUCAAAACUGCAGACUGCCAUUCAUAGUGGACCAAAUUUACAGUUUCUUCCAGCACGGGAGUGACAAUGCAGUAUACGAGAACACAAGCAGCUUGUGAGAUGUUGCUGCUUAAUUAACAAGAUUUCCUUCAGUACAGGGCUGUUUAUAUCCUGCAACGACACGGUGUAAAGUAAGUUACUUGAAAGAGAACAGCAUUUCCAGAACAUUGUUAAACUGCUGAUCUAUUCGUUCAGAGAAACAUGAAUGAGAUGUAAUAAGAAUUUGAGAAGAAUUUGACAACGGAAACGUAUUAGACUUGUCUGAUGCAGUUUUGAGAUCCUAUUUCUAUGAUAUCAUUCGCCGCUACCUAACAUCAGCCAACAUAAAAAUGCUGAAAUCCUGCCAUCUCGUUACCUGAAAUGUGUGUUUACUACUCACUAAGUAGUACUACAGUGUCAGCUGCAGAAUCAUGUCAGCAAACCAAGUCAUCAGGCCAUGCAACAAAAUAUAUGCAUCCAGGUUUCUGAUUGCCUUUGGUCCAUUUUGGUCAGUUUGUUUUGUUGAAUAUAUGUCAACAAUCUGUGAUAAAUUUAUAUAUGCUAAUAAAUAAACAGUGUAUGAACAAUGAACUAAUAUUAAACAGAAAUAUUGAAGAUCGAGGCUUGCGUACCGCAAUGUCCUUGAAACAGAAAUUUCGCCCCUACUCACUGUUUGUAGUUCUCUGGACGUCUGUUUCACCAGGAUUCAACGAUCAAGUUAGAAUUCCAGCAUCGGAAAACUUAACUACUAACGAAUUUCUUUGUGGUACUCUCAGUAAGAAUGCUAUGGAUUAUAGAAGGAGAUUUAUGCUUUCUGUGUUCUAAAUGUCAUGCAGACGGAUGUAUAUAUAGUGAGAUUAUGUAUGUUCGCAACAGGUAUGAGAAUGAGAUGUGACUGUUGGGAGACAUCUUUUUAGAUAGGGUGCUGUGCUCUCUGCGUUUUUCAUUGACUUCAAACUUCUUCUAAAAAGAUGAGUCUGUUAAAAAAAUUAAUUUAAUUAAAUUCGAAAAUACGAUAUUCUAAACUACUUUAAUUUACGGGUAGAGGAUUCAAACUUGGGUGAAGGGCGGACAGAGCAUACUGCUAUGGCCAACUUCUGAACGACAACGAACCUGGGAAGAAGCUUCAUGGGUGCUUUCAGUUCAUCACAAAAGCAUUUGAAACAAUGUUGGGAGCUGCAUAAUAAAGUGGUGGAUUUGAAAGUGGUGCAACAGAGAGAAUUAUGGGGAUAGGAAGGAAGCUAGGGGAUUGGAAACAUGUCCUCCAAAUCCAAAGGAUUUUUAAGGUUGUGCAAACUGCCACUGGAUAUGUACUUGCAGUAUUAUAUAUAAAAUGCACAGGUGCUUAACAAAAGACGCUUUGGCCGAGUGGUUAAGGCGUGUGCCUGCUAAGUACAUGGGGUUUCCCCGCGAGAGUUCGAAUCUCUCAGGCGUCGUUUCUUUUUAUUUUUCCCUCAAUUAUAUAACCUUUUUUUUUUCUUUCGUUUUUUGUUCUGUUUCUCUUCGAGUGUGUUAGUUAUCUUCGUGUAAGGGAGGCCGCCUAUUUUUCUCCAGUCGUUGUAGAUUCAUCUCCGAAAUUUUUCGAAUUCCCGGGAACCAUCUCCUUCCUUCCUAUAAGCUCACAGCUCUCUCACUUGUACUGACCUAGGUAUGUCUUAUCCUCUACCUUCACUUUCUCGUUUAUUCUCAAAUUACGAUUUUAUCAGAGGGUUUUAGUUUGGGGUUAGGAUUCGUAUUAGAUUUUAGUUAAGGGUUUGGUAAUUAGGAUUUGGCUGCUUUUCUACAUUUCAAUGCACUUCCGUUUUAUUUUAUUUUGUUUUUUAAUUUUUAGUUUUCGUUGUAUGUUUAUGAAUAGUCCAUGAUUAUUUAUUAUCCAAGAUAUCGACAAAUUUGUUGGUGAUGUUAAAAUUUAUCUUCGGGGAGGUCUGUAUCCAAGAUCCUCUCAGACACAGUUGGGGCAGGUCGUAUUGUUUUAGUAGUUUCCAUAAGCUUGGGAAAUUUCAAAGAAACAACAAAACUGCAGAAAUUUCUUUAGAGUUUUUGGCUUGGAAAAAGAAAAAACUUAGGGCCCGUUUGAUUACUGUUUCGAUUUUUUUUUGUUUUUUCACUUUUGGGUUAGAAAUGAAGGGAAAUGCGAACAAGAAAAGAUGACCAAGGAGAUGGAGGGUUUAGGGUAAUAGGUAACAAAUAGUGAUAAUGUGAUAGGCGAAUAUUAUGCCACCAUUGUGCAAAUUUUUACGUGUUUCUACUGACAUUGCAGAGGAACUUGCAACAAUAAUGAGUUGGAUUUUUGGUGUGUUUGGGGACUAGGAAGGCAGUUUGGACACAUCAAAGUAAUUGGACAAAGGUGGACUGUGGGUGCUCGUGCUCAAAUAUAUAGAACAAUAAGCAGGAAGCAAAAGUAAAAAAGAAAAGAUAUGUCGGAGACUCUCUGAACAAAGAUGAUUCUUACAACGCAAAAGAGAUGUACAGUAGAAUUAUAUGUCCAGUCUACAAACGUUUCAUACACAUUACACCACAAUGGUCCAAGUCCAUACAUACAAACUACAAAAACUCCCUUAAUUUGGAAGGGGCAUUGGCAAGCCAGUUUGCUUCUAUCUUGCAAGCUUGCAAUGAUGAGUCUCUUAUCCAACAAGGUAGACAAGUUCAUGCACAUGUUAUUUGCAGCGGACUUGUCAAAAACAGCCUUGUCUGGACAAGGAUCCUGGGUAUGUAUUUUCUCUGCGGGAGCAUUAUGGGCGCCAAGAACAUGUUUUAUCAGCUUGAUUUGAAAUAUACUUUGCCUUGGAACUCGAUGAUUAGAGGGUUUACUAUGAUGGGUUACUUUGAUUAUGCCUUGCUGUUUUACUUUAAGAUGCUGAGUUCUGGAGUUUCACCUGACAAGUACACUUUUUUGAGUGUAAUUAAAGCUUGUGGUGGUGUGAAUAAUGUAAGAUUGGGCAAAGCAGUAUAUGAUACUAUCCAGUUUAUGGGUUUUGGAGUUGAUAUAUUUGUGGGGAGCUCCUUGAUUCGACUGUAUGUGGACAACGGUUGUAUUCAGGAUGCAUGGAGCUUGUUUGUUAAAAUGCCCAUCAAAGAUUGUGUUUUAUGGAAUGUUAUGCUUCAUGGUUAUGUUAAAAAUGGACAAUUAAAUAAUUCUGUUAGAAUGUUCUUGGAAAUGAGAAGUAGUGAAGUUAAGCCAAAUGCAGUGACGUUUGCUUGCAUUUUGUCUCUUUGUGCUUCAGAAGCUAUGAUUGGUUUUGGUACUCAACUUCAUGGGCUUGUUGUUGCAUGUGGGUUGGAGUCGGAUUCUCCAGUGGCUAAUACAUUGUUAGCAAUGUAUUCUAAAUGCCAAUGCUUCUCUGAUGCCCGCAAGUUGUUUGAUAUGAUGCCUCGAACUGAUCUAGUGACAUGGAAUGGAAUGAUAUCUGGUUAUAUACAAAGUGGGUUUAUGCUUGAGGCUUCACGUUUGUUUCAGGACAUGAUAUCUACAAGUGUCAAACCUGAUUCGAUCACAUUUGCAAGUUUUUUACCUUCGGUUGCUGAACUAGGUAGCCUCAAGCAAGGUAAGGAAAUUCACGGUUACAUUGUAAGGCACUGCGUGCCUUUGGAUGUGUUUUUGCAAUGUGCACUUAUUGAUGUAUACUUCAAGUGCAGGAAUGUGGACAUGGCACGUAAAAUUUUCAGCAAAAGCACCAGAACGGAUGUUGUCAUCUGCACAGCUAUGAUUUCAGGUUUUGUUCUCAAUGGGAUGAAUUGUGAUGCAUUGGAAAUUUUUAGAAGGUUACUUAAAGAGAAAAUGAGACCGAAUUCUCUAACACUGGCAAGUGUUCUACCAGCUUGUGCUGGUCUGGCUGCUCUGAAAUUUGGAAAGGAAUUGCAUGGAAACAUCCUUAAGCAUGGGCUUGAUGCAAGGUGUUAUGUGGGUAGUGCCCUUACAGACAUGUAUGCAAAAUCUGGAAGACUCGAUCUUGCUCAUCGAGUUUUUCAAAGACUGUCUGAAAGGGAUGCUGUUUGUUGGAACUCGAUGAUAACAAGCUAUUCCCAGAAUGGCAAACCGGAAGAGGCGAUAGAUCUAUUUCGUCAAAUGGGGACGGAAGGUGCCAAGUAUGACUGUGUUAGCAUUUCAGCUGCGCUUUCUGCUUGUGCAAACUUACCAGCACUUCAUUAUGGGAAAGAGAUCCAUAGUUUCAUGAUUAGAAGUGCAUUUAGUUCCGAUCUAUUUGCUGAGAGUGCACUGAUAGACAUGUAUGCCAAAUGUGGAAACUUAGAUCUUGCUCGCCGUGUGUUUGACAUGAUGGAAGAGAAGAAUGAAGUUUCCUGGAACAGCAUCAUUUCUGCUUAUGGGAAUCAUGGUCGCCUUAAGGAAUCUCUUGUUCUGUUUCAUGAAAUGUUGAGUAAAGGGAUCUUGCCCGAUCAUGUCACCUUUCUUGGUAUAUUAUCUGCUUGUGGCCAUGCAGGCGCAGUUGAUGAUGGAAUUCUCUACUUCCGUUGCAUGAUUGAGGAAUAUAGGAUCCCAGCUAGGUUGGAGCAUUAUGCUUGCAUGGUAGAUCUAUUAGGGCGUGCUGGACAUUUACGUGAAGCAUUUGAAACAAUAAAGAGCAUGCCAUUCUCCCCAGAUUCGGGUGUCUGGGGAACAAUGCUUGGAGCCUGUCGGCUCCAUGGCAAUGUUGAGCUUGCAGAAGAGGUAUCAAGAUACCUUUUUGAAUUGGCACCGCAAAAUUCUGGCUAUUAUAUACUCCUCUCAAAUAUACUUGCUGAUGCUGGAAAAUGGGGGAGUGUGCUGAAGGUUCGAACGCUAAUGAAAAACAGAGAAGUUCAAAAGGUUCCUGGGUACAGUUGGAUUGAGGUAAACAACAACACUCAUAUGUUUGUUGCAGCAGAUGGGAGUCACCCAGAGUCUGCUCAGAUAUAUUCAUUGCUCAACAGUCUUCUUCUAGAACUAAGAAAAGAGGGUUAUAAUCCUAGACCUUACCUUCCAACACAUCCACAGACAUUGGGGAUUUAAUCUAUAGACAGAAAGAAAAUAGAAGUUCACUACACUCAUUCGGUAGUUGGAUUGGUAACAUUUAAACUUACCUCCCCAGAGGAGAAGGAAAAAGGGGUUCAACUCUCAAAUUAGAAAUCUGAAAAACUGCCUAAGGGGUCCCCUCUUGAUUGUGUUUCCGACUUUGAAGAUAAUUAAACCGAUGUGGUUUUGGAACCUUUUGCCACUUAUUUGGAGGGUGUUUUUAGCUAUGAAGGUAUGAGGGUGGGUUUUCAUCUGGACUGGUUUCCAAUCCUAAGCAUUUUUCUUAUAUUGAGGUCAAUUUGCUCAUAUAACAUAUACCCAUUUUUCUUCGUUGAUACAAAUGUUCCAGCUUGGCCAGAUGUUUUAUGUUUGUCCCAUCAUACAAAGGUUGAUAAACCAAAAAGACAACGGUGGAAAUACUCCUUUGCAUUUGGCAACAAUGUACCAUCAUAGAGAGGUUGGCAUAUAAGGACCAACAUAAAGCUCUUAAAGUGUAGGGUCAUGACAGCUCGUGACGUUGCUGAAAGCAGUUUGGGAAUUGUUGCAUCACACCAGGGGGUAAGUUUCUGUGCUAUCUAUUGUUAUAAAAUUACGGAUGAUUAUGCCUUACUACAAUUUACAACCAAAGGAAGGAUCAUAGUUCUAGUCCAUUGGGUUCCAUUCUUUUUCAGUUACCUAACGAGGAAAUCCAUAGGAACAGGGUAAAAUACGUUAUUAGUGGUGGCCACACUAGUUGCCACGGUGACAUUUGCAGCCAGUUUCACAAUGCCAGGCGGUUACAGCAAUUCGGUCCUCAUGAAGGCGUCACAACCUUGUUGCAAUCAGUCUCGUGUGGUGUACACGGCUCUUCCAUCACGGCACAGGGACUAACUCGAUCAUUUUCGAAAUGGGUUUGUUCAGUCCUAAUAGCUGUUGCAGUACUGGGCAAUGCUUAUGCACUUGACCAAAGAUUUGGAAGAGGUUCAAACUGCCUUAUUUUCUAUCACAUAUUCAGUCUAUCCAAAGCUUUGGUUAACCUUUUUUUGGGAUAGUUUCAUUGGGGCCUGGCGGUUCUAUGUUUGGCUGGUAUUCUUAUCUUUUUCCAAUGUUAUUUCGAUUUCGUUAUCAAUGAUCUCUUCAUAAUAUCCAAGUGAGGAGUGAACUUGUUUAGUAAACAGAAAAAGUCAUAAAAAUGGUUAAGUUAAGAAACACAUGUCGAAAAUAUAUCAAGGAGACAUGAAAAAGACAUAUAUAACUUGUUUGGAUGUGUUUUUAAAAUGAUUGAAAACGCUUUUGGUGAAAAUGUUUUUGAAAUCAAUUCUUAGUAAAAAUGCAAGUAAAUUAUGGAAAAACGUUUUCAGUCAUUUUAAAAGGACAUUAGCCUAUAGUUGGGAAUAAUGAAUCCAUGGUAAGUGAGGAGUGUAACCUGUUUAAAACCAAUUCUUAAUAAAAAUGCAAGCAAAUUAUGGAAAAACGUUUUCAGUCAUUUUAAAAGCACAUUAGCCUAUAGUUGGGAACAAUGAAUCCGUGGCAAGUGAGGAGUGUAACCUGUUAGAUGUUUAAACAGAAAUAGUCAUUAUCAAAAAAUGAUGCUGCCCAUGUCAUUUUAAAAGGACGUUAUCCUAUGGUUGGGAACAAUGAAUCCGUAACAAGUGAGGAGUGUAACUUGUUUGACGUUUAAACAGAAAAUGUCAUUAUUAAAAAGAUGAUGCUGCCCAGGAUCGAACUGGGGACCUUCAGUGUGUAAAACUGACGUGAUAACCACUACACCACAGCACCUCUUUGAUGAAAGAUGUUAAUAUUAUCUUACAUAACUCAAUUAAUUUGAAAGCAAAACCCACACAUUUCGUGGAAACCCAGCGUGUAUCCAACCGUAACACGGUAACACGGUAACACCCAAUCCGUCCAACACGAAAAACGAAAAAUCCGGAAACCUUGCGAUCAUUAAAACUGAUAGAAACGAAGGUGGACGUCGAAUUUCCGAUCAUCCUCCUCUUUGGCGUAGCUUCCGAUCUUCAAUUUCGUUGGGUUCCCUCCAAAUUUUUGUAAUUUUGGUGAAUUGGGUGGUAGGUCAGAGGGCGGAGACAGACGGACAGGAUGGGAGGGGUGGCGAGGAGCUGCGUGCAAUCAUUGCUCAAGUUGGUGAAUUGUAUGAUUGGGAUGGUAGGGCUCGCCAUGAUUAUGUACUCGUUGUGGUUGUUUAGCGCGUGGCAGAGAAACAUGCCUCACUUCCCCCCACCACUCGACCACUCUCACCACCAUCCUACACCUUGGUUUGUAAAUCUAUCUAAUCUUGGUUUUUCUUUCCUUUCUCUGGAUUUUCUCAUAUUAGGGUCUGUUUGUUUCCUGAGAAAAUGUGGGAAAUGCAAGGGAAUCCAGACUUUAAGCUUUCCAUGCUGUUGAAUUGUGUAUUGGUUUCCUUUUCUCAUUUUCUUAGACUUGGUGUUUGUUUGAAAAGUUAAUUGCUUGUUUAGGAGGUUGCCAUCAUUUGCUAUGGUGGGUCAUUUCCCCUUUUUGACUGAAACCUGCCUCUUUGUUUCUUUUGCAUAAAAUUCUUAUGAGCCUUUUACUUUGCUUUUCGACUUAUAGAGAGCAAAAAGGAGAGGGAAAAAAUGGAAAGAUUAAAGGAAAUCACUGUGUCUGUCAAUUUUUUCUUUGUCACGAUUAGAUAUUGAAAAUCAUUCUGAUUUGGACGAAUUUUUGUAAGGAUGGUAUUUGAAUGUAGAUCUAGAAAAUGAACGGUCAUGGAAAAAUGUUGUGGAGAGGGCUCAAAUAGUGCCAUAGUAAGUUACUUACUAGUUAGCGCUUGGGCACUUCUGAUGGUGGGAGGCUUAUGCAUUGAAGAGGACUAGGAGAUAACUGACAUUCAAAUCUGAAGUAUAACAAAGAUGAUCAGAAUCCACACUAAUCAGACUAAAACCAAACAUUGUUCUGCAAAACUCCCUUCUGCUGAAAACUGUCAUCGCGCUCGCCUCAAGUGGAGUCGUCCCUUCUUGACACCCAAAAAACCGUAAACUUUGCUUCAUCACAUUUGCUGUGGACCAAGCCAACUCAAAUUUUCUCUCCUCGACAAUCUCCACUCCAACUCCGAUGUAUUUGGCCAAUGAAGAAACAAAUUGUCAGUGUUUUCCACCUCCCCCUAGCACUACAGGGCAAUAGUAAGAAACGCUGGCUUUAGGUAUUCUCCUUUGAACCAUGACAAGUGUUUACCUCAGCGUGAAGUGCUUUUUUAAUCAUUUGUAGCAGUUGAUUUUGGUGCGAAUUGGAUUUUAUGUCUUGGUUUUUGACUUUUUGGAUGAAGUAAAUUUGGUCUUGUCCUCAGCAUUGUAUAUUUAUUUUUAUGUAAGUAUACAAUCUUUUUCUCAGUGCUGAUUUAAAACUUCUUUUAUGUUAUUUUUUGGCAUGAAUUGCAGGUUCAUAUACACUUUUCUUGGCCUUGGGAUCACUCUGCUUGUGAUCACAUGCUCAGGUCAUAUCGCCGCUGACACUGCAAAUGGUUGUUGCCUUUAUUUGGUAUCCUUUUGUUUCAUAUAUCUUUAUUAGCUAUUCAAUUAUUUGGAGUCAAUAACGUCACAUUCCCCACCAAAUUGCCUUCUUCUUACUCAACCUUAAAUUAAGCAACUCUAACAGCCCUUAACGGAUCUGUUUCUGAGUGCUUCAACUGGAAGUGAUUUUUCCACUCUGCAAUUUUUCUGAUAGCAUUGUUAGAUAUAUAUAGUUUUUGUAGUUUUUAUUUUUCAAAUUUUUUGUGCUUCUUGUAAAUACACUUGGAAGUGCCCCUAGGAAGCAUCAACUAGGUGCUUCUAAGAAAGCACUACAAUGGGCUAAAAUGGGCUUAUCUGACUCAAAAGAACACAAGUUAUAAGAUCAAAGAAUUUAUUUCUCUUUAUCCUUUUGCUGCUUGAUACUCUUCCGUUUUUGUUCUAUGAUUAUAGUUGUGUAUUUCUGUGUUUUCUUUCUCUUUCAAAUUAACUUUUAAUUAUAUUUAUUAGGCUUGCAACAGGAUCUUUUCUUUCUUCCCUUACAAUUUGUUCACGUCUCAUUAUAAAUGUCAUUAUUAGAUUCUUAAUAUUCUGUUAAUGUGUUCAUGUGCUCUAAAUGGGGAGGCUUAUGCGCUGCAUCGUUUUUUGACAAUACUUACAUGCUUGAUAAUUCUUUUCAAUCUACAAUUUUGAACACCUGAAAUAGCUGCUACAGUUGUACUUGUAUGAAGAGAGGUAAAGGUCGUACCCAGUGCACAAGGCUCCCGCUUUACGCAGGGUCUGGGAGAGGUGAAUGUCGGCUAACCUUACCCCCAUUUAUGGAGAGGCUGCUCCCAAGUCUCGAACCCGAGACCUACCGCUCAUGGGCGAAGGCACUUGCCAUCGCACCAAGUGCGACCUCUUACUUGUAUGAAGAGAGGUAGUAGGGUAAAAUUAAUCUACGUUAGAUAAAUAUUGCUUUAAAGCUAGAUAGAUAUUACUUUAAUUUCAAAAGGCAUAUUGUCCAGUAGUUUCAUCAUAGUGGGUAGAUUAUAUAGUAAGUGCUAUUUAUCAUCAUAGCAUAUGGACUUGUCUUUCUAUGGAAGUUAAUGGAUUUUAAACUAGAUUGUCAGCUCCAUAUUUGCCAUAUCAUUUCAGAUCAUUUAGAUUCAUUUUGUUUUAGAUAUUGAUUAUUCAUAAAACAUUUGUAGAAAUGAGUACAGUUCAAUGGGGCUUCACUUUCUUUUAUUUUUUUACCUCUGUUAUCUUUAAAUAUAUAUGACAAAAAUGUCUGUGUUUUACCUUAAUUGCAUACAGUACAUGGUGUUUGUCUUCUUACUCUUCAUGCUUGAAGCUGGAGUGACUGCUGACAUAUUUUUAAACCGUGACUGGGAAGAGGUAUAUAUCAAGUACAGUGUAGUUAUUUUUGGUUAAUGGGUUAAUGACUUAGAGAGAAGCAUAUUAGCGAUUUGGUUAUAAUGCUGAUAGUUUUUUUACUUGUGGCCAGGACUUUCCAGAUGAUCCAACUGGGAGAUUUGAUCAAUUCAAAGAAUUUGUAAGGUCGAACUUUGAUAUCUGCAAAUGGAUUGGCUUGUCAAUAGUUUGUGUACAGGUCUGUCUCUCUCACUCUCUUUCUGUCUUUGUGUACUGCAUGUUUGUGCUUACUUUUUUGUAACUUUUUUUAACAUCUUGUGAGGAAAUAAAAGUUAAAAUGUUCAAUGAGUCUCACUUAAUUUGUCUUACUAGAACUAGUAGAAGCUGCAGAAUCAGGCGAGUGUUUUAAAUAUAUUUCAGGGUAAAUGACCCCAAUUUCCCUUUAACUUCAACCCAUGUCUCCAGUGGCGGAGAAAACAUGGGCACAGGGGGCACCGCUCCCUCUCAUAUUUUCUUUUUGGGGACUGUUGAUAUUAAUCUAGUUAACUAGUUCCAAAAUUGAUUUUGAGUCGCAAGUGCCUCUAUAUUCUUCUUUGCUUUCUCACUCGUUCAUGUCAAAAACCUGAUUUUGUUGCAUAUAUUUUGUUAAUAUGAAUGACUAUUAGAUUAUUAAUACAACAAAGUACAGAAGAAUUUAGAGAAGAGAAUGAUAAAAUUAGGAAUGUUGUAACAACUUGCGCACUGCUAAGGGCUAUCUGGUUUGCAGAUCAUGGCCAUUCCUUAUAUUUUCUCUGUCCUCUUUCUGUUGAACGUUCGUUGUCUUCUUUUGCAGGGGCUGUCUUUGUUAUUGGCAAUGAUACUCAAAGCUCUUGGGCCACAUCCGUAUUAUGAUAGUGAUGAUGAGUAUAUUCCUGAGAGGGUUCCACUCCUAAAGAAUGCUGUUCUUCCACCUCCUUAUGUCGUUGGUGACCCUGUAUAUGGUUCCAAUGUAUAUGGUUCCAAAAGUGAUUCAUGGAACAUAAGGAUCAAUGACAAGGUAGGAAUGUUCGAUUUUUUGAAUGGGCCAUGUUAUAUAUCUGCGGCAUUAUUUCUUUACUUUUUAAAUCAAAGAUCUGUAUUUCGUUUCUCAUAAUUUAUAAAACUCUGUUAUUACGUUUUCUUCUGUCUUGUUCUAAUUCUUGUGUCUUAAUCUUUGUUACUUCUUUUCACUGGAGUAUUUAUAAAAAAGAAAAUGAUCCUCUAUCUGAUUCUUUCAUGAGUCAUUCAGAUUCUGUAGGACAGCUGAGAGUGUCAUAAGUAGUACCACUUUUAUGGAACACACAUAGACGGGUAUACAUAUAUAUAUAUAUAUAUAUAUAUAUAUAUAUAUUAUAAAUAUUAUAUAUUGAUUAAUAUACCCUUUUCAAAGUGUGAAAAUAUCCCGUUGAUUAAGUGAAGUCAUGUCUUAAUAUCUGGUCCUGGGACAGUCGUGUAACAUAACAUGCUCAAUGUCUCAGAACUUGUUUCGCGAUUAUGUACUACAUGUAAAAUUUCUGGAUAAUGUAUAUUUACAGUAGCAGGCCCUUUCCUGAAGGGAUUCCCAUUUGCAAGGAUCACAUUGGGCUCGCAUAUUUCCGCCGUGAAAUGUGGUCCAAUAAACUAAACCAUCCUAUUUUAAGGUCCUCAUUGAAUGAUGAUCCUUAAAAGUGACCUGCAACACAGAAAGGGGCAGGGAGGUUGUGAACCGUAAUAGGUUUUGGCUGCUAAGUUGGGUUGUCACCGCAUUUGUAUGAAUUUUUGUUAUUGAUUCUUUCUGUUUUUUCCCUUUCUAAAUCAGACAAACAGGUAAAUUGAUUGUUCAGCUGGGCUUCUACUUGUGGAUGGAUGGUAGUGCGGAGACACAAUAAGAGUGGAGGAACUGGAUCGGAAAAAUGAGUCAUCUGCUGUCGAUUGACCAAUUGAGCAUUGAAGGUUUCAUAAACUCGAGCAGAUGAAGAGGGUGGAAUUAGUCACGUACAUACUUUAAACUCUCACUGUAUACCUGAAUGCUGAACCUGAUGAAAUUGACAGUUCAUCGUUGCGUUUCUGUAUAGAUUGUUAAACGAUGCAUAAUAUUUAUCGAUUAAUUUGGAAUCUCCGUUCAAUCAUCUUGUCAACUUUUACAUGUUCCAUGUGCGGACAUCCCCAAUUUCAGGAUUAGAAGUUGGUUCGUUUCAGUUUCUUACAGGAACAUGGGGGGUUUUGGCAGUUGGAUUUGCAACUUCUUAUGCAUGAUUUCUCUGGUCAUUACAGGAACAUGACGGAAUGGUGGACGGAAUCUAAUGGCAAUUGAUUAAUUGGCUGAUUUUAAAUAGUUCAAGGGGUCAAUUUCAACUGGAAUAAUAGUAUAGAGUGUCAAACCGCAGUUUACCCCAUUUUUUUUCUUUCUAUUUUCUAAAGUUUGGUUUACUUUUCGUCCUCCAUACAAUACAAAGGUAUGAUCUCUUCUUUUUUAUUUAUGGGGUUUGACAAAUUCAAACUCGAACCUCUUUCUUACGUUAGAAAGGGAAAUAUCGUUUUAAUGAAGGAACAAACUGUCAAAUGAUCUGAAGAUAUAAAUUGACACGAUUCAAAAUUUUUAUGAUGUAAUGUGGAAAAAAGGAUAAUUUUGUUGUUCAUUUUGUAAUUGACUCAAACUUGAAGAGUGUAAAAUGUAGUUAGCGAAAACUAGAAUGUAUUGUGUCAUGAAUAAGAAGGUACCUACAUUAUUAUUAUUAUUAUUAUUAUUAUUAUUAUUAUUAUUGGAAGUGAUUUUCACAUUUUUUUUAUAGCCAUCAAAUUAAAUAAAUCAAAGGAAAUAGCCAAGAUUAAACAAUGGCUUGUGAAAAUCAUUGUCCGACACUAGGAACAUGUCUUUCACAAAUGAACAACCCAUGCCACGAAUAAAUAAAUAAUAUGGUAUAUUUGACUUUAAAAAUAAUGAAAAAAAAUCUCAUGUAUUUUUGGUCAAUCAAAAGAUUGAUUUACUUGCCUAUCAUUCCUUGCCGCAUUAACAUACAUAUAAUUUCCUCUAAUAAUUAUGGGUAAUGUUAGGAAGACCAAAAUUUUAAACUAAAUUUUAUAAAUCGAAUGAUGUGAUUGUUGAUGAUUGAAUUAUUAUUAAAAUGUUAAUAACGUUUCCUAUUGGUGACAUAUAUUGGUUUGUAAAUUUGAUUUAAAAUUUUGAUUUCCUAGCAUUAUUCAAUAAUUAUACACAGCCCAUAUAUCUACGUAUUCGAUCUGACUGGGUUGCAUAAUUGUGUUCAUAAUUUAUUUGCUCAAAAGUAUAAUUCUAACAUUCUUCCUGUUUUGAUCCAUGAUCCAUCCACUGAAGACACGUAAUUUUCAACUUCCUCAAUCAUACCAUGCAUGUUACCCUCCUAAUGUACCCAAUGACCGGGUUGAAUAAUUGUUGCUGUUGAAAUCUUUCUGUUUGCUUUUAUAAAAAGGCAUGUGCCAAGAAAUUCAACUUCUCUUAAACCCUAGCUAGCACAAGAUGGAAAGUCUUGGUUUAUAUGGUUGCACACUCUGUAAAUGUGCUCGCUCAAAGUACAGCCUUAUCUAAGACUCUCCAUUCAAGGAACCCAUACAACACUUAAAAACACUUAUAACUUAAAGUCACAAACCAAAACACGCAAAAAAGGGAAGGCAUAAUAAGAGGAAAACAAUUGCAAUGAGUUUAUAAUUCCGUGGGUUAUAAUUUACCUAAACGUGUAUUUGAGAUUCAGUAUGUUUGACUUCUUCUUGUAGGGGCUUGUAUAUCAGUUCAUUAAUAAUAUUCACUCCUGCAUAUGAGAUUGCUCGUAUCAAAGGAGGGAGGGGAUAUUUUUUUCAUUCAGGAAAGCAUGAUUCAGCUUCUGUUUCUAAGAAGAUCCCCAUGUUCUUGAAUAUAAUAAGUGCGUAGCUUGGUUCUUCAUUGUCACAGAGAUGAGCAUUAAUUAAGAUAAAAAUUGAGACAGUUUUUUUGUGGUAUUUGCUGAAUGGAUUCGCAAAGUAUCUUCUUCUACAGUUGCGCUACUUUAACUACCGGAAAUUCAUACUUUAUUAGCAUAAUCAAUACACAAUCUUAUAUAUAAUCAGUUCUAAUUAAGCUUUAUCUAGGAAAUACAUCGUGCUUGCUUUAUUGAAUAAUAUAUUUCUUUUAAGAGCACAAACUAACUCUUCAUUUGUUCGAUGCAUUGUACUCAUGCUUUAUAUCUUAUUGGAGAUGUGAUUCUGUAAUGGAGUUAGUCUGAAUUAACUACUCGGUUAGCGAUAAUCAAGUACGUUUAAUUAACUAAAGAAUGUUAUCUACUGGGUCGGGGCAUCACCCCACACAUACUUCAAUGUUAUUUUAUGAUGCUUGAUCGGAUCAUCGUGCAACAUGACUUUUGAAGAAGCACAAGGAAGGGCUUCGAAUUGUUACCUCAAACUUUAAGCUAGCUUCAUAUUAACUAUGGUUCAAAAUUGGAGGUUACAGUGCUAAUAUAUAAUUUAUGCUCGAUUCUUGUUGCCCACCCACCUUAUAUUCGCACUCCGCGAAUAGAAUUCUAAAAGAAAGAUUGAAGGCAGAAACAUGAAAUUCAGCAGAUAGGACAAUUAGUUGGUGAAAUUAACCAAAUAACAUCUUCUCUUAGAAUUUUUUUUUUUUUCAAAAACUUACACACUUUGGCCCCUCGCAUUCAAAACAUUAACGCUCAUUUGUAUAUGUGCUUCAUACACAACAAUCAUAUGCAAAAAGGUGCCUUCAAAGAGAUUGAAGACUGUUUGAUAACUAUUUCGUUUUUACAUUUUGUGUUGAGAUAUAUAUGACAAAAGUAUAUGGGAGAAAGGAGAGAUGAAGGAGGGUGAUGGGAGAGAGGAAAAGAAAUAAAGAAUGAACGAAAAAAGAAUCUCGAAAGUGAAAACAGUUCAACAAAGAUUUUUGUUUUUUAAUUUUAGUUUUCAUUAUGUGUGCCUUUCCCUUCAUUUCUUAUACAUCUUUGCUCAUCAUCCUUCAUCCACUCUUCAUUAUGCAUGAAAUAAAAACAUGAUGCUUAAGUGGUUGUGUGAAGACCAAUUGAUUGUUUUGGUGCCAAAUAGGGAUUUUUAUCACAAUUGUCAUUAUGAUUUGUGAAAAAUGUACGUUUACUCCUUUGUGUUUCAAAUCGAUUAAUGUCUUUUAUGAAUGUUGGCGGCACAACAAUCAGAGAGAACAAUUUUAUUGAAAACAAAAUAAAGAACACUAUACAAGAUAAAAAAUAGAGAACUUUAACGAAAAGCACCCGGUACUGUUCACUUUAACGAAAAGCCACAUUUUUACACUAAAAAGUCAAUCCUGGUACUAUUCACUUUACCCUUUAUUUUGUCCUUAUCAUUAAAACUCAAAGUUUUCAAACCCUUUUCAUUAGUUUUCCUUAAAAAAUAUCAACAGUUUAAUAAAACGAAAUUUGAACAAUGAAUUUGUAAUGAACUUUUUUGCGCAUAUAGAGGCUUGCGGACUUGUCAUUUUUGAUAUUUGAACUUUAGACAUCUCGCCACAAAUGAAGAAAAAUACCAUUAAACCGUAAUAUUAAAUAAUAACUUAAAAACCAUGUUAAUUUUAACGAUAAAACAAAUGUUCAUUUCCUAAGAAACAUGAGUAUUUCCCAAAGUGAGUGCCCAAAAAGAAUCUGUUCAGACUUGACACCCUCAUGUAGAUGAUGUCUAAAAUACCCAUAUCGCUUGAUCACCUCGCACAAGCUUCAAGGGAAAGAAUUGGCUGGUAAAACUUGUAAUUAUUUCUCAGCAGGAGGAGCAUUAUCGUAAAUCUGCUCACACUCCUACUACUAGAAAUUUGGCUAAAAGACACAUUUUUUUAUUGGUGUCUAUUGUCAAUUGUGGAUAGUUUCAUUAAUGGCAAACCUUAAUGGCCACUAAGCAGCCACUAAAUUAGAAAUGAUGUCCUAUAUAGAAGACUCUAUUGUUAUAAACACCACAAAUUAGAUAAUGGUGACACAAUAAAUAAUUACACCUUUGAACUUAUGUGACAAGAUGAUAUGUAGUCAUUGGCAAUAUGAUGAUCCUCGUGACGCACGCACAGUAGGCCAGUGAAAGAACUUAGCCCAUGUGACAAGAUGAUAUGCAGUCAUUGGCAGUAUGAUGAGGAGGUGGAUUGUCUGCCCUCCUAUUUUCAUACUCUUCUCAUUCUUUUCUAUUUGUAUGGUUACGGUUAAGGCAUGUUAACAUUUUAUAUUGAUUUUUUAUAAAAAUAAUAAAACAAAAAGUAAUAGAAAUAUAAAAUGUUGACGUGGCUUAACCGUGACCACACAAAACAGGAGGAGAUGAAAAGAGUAUGGAAAUAGGACAGCAGACAAUCCACCUCCGUAUGAUGAUACUCGUGACGCACGCACAUUAGGAUUCUUAUUUGGUUCUUUCUAUUCAUGCAUGUGCAUGUAGGGUCCCGAAUAUUUAUUUUUACAGUUUAGCCCAUCUAUGAUUAUUGGAGGCAGUUUCCAUUAACCUGACAAUUUCUUACCUGAUCUGUAAACACGAUACUAAAACGUUAUGAAAAUAAUAAAUUUUGGAUCGACAUGAUACUAAUCGGAUCAUUAUCAGGUCAUCCAAUAAGAACACAUUAUUAACAGGUUUAUUAUUGUAGGCCGUUGGCUUCAAUUUACACCAUUUAGUUAUAAUCUAGCCAUGUAUGUAUUGUUUGAACUUUGAUGAAAGAAAACAAAUAUCAUGAUCUCAAUGCUCUCAACAUAAAUCCAAAGCAUAGAUAUGUCGAUUGUUAUUGUAACUAUCUUGAAAGAGUUUGUAGUUAAGUUGAUUAAGAACAUUUUUAUAUGAAUAUUAGAUCGAGUCUAAAUUAUCUCUCCCCUAUUUCAUUGUAAGUUACCAUCCAAUUUGAAAUCAGCACAAAAUUCAAUUCUUAAUUCUAGCUAAUUUACUACAUGGCCGGAGUCCUUCACAUAUUUUGGAAAGGCUUAUGGACGAAUUAAGAGAUUGAUUUAAACUGGUGAUUUUCCUUCUACUUUGGCCGCUAAGCAGCAGUUUUCUUUGUUUUCAAGGUCCUUUUUCUUGGAUCAAUAAAUAUAUAUCGCUAAGAACCAACCAAGUGCAACCUUAGAAAAUAAACAAGCAAACAAAAACCGGAUAAUUAUAUAUCCAUGAAUAGAUGCUUAAUUCCACUUCAUCCACUAGCUUAUCUCCACUUGUUAGGAUUGAUAAACUACAAACUUAGUUCGUGCACCAGACAACAUUUUGUCUCUUGGGCCACACAAAUUAUAACCAAUAUUAAAUCGUGGCUUUACGUCAUGAUUUCUCAAGUACACGUGUUUUAAGAUAACUAAUAAUAUGGAAACUCUUUCAAAAUAAUAAUAAUAUGGAAACCCUAAUGAGGACUUAUUGGUAAAAGGUGUUAUUCUUUCUACACUAGGAACUUUGACUAAAACCAUAUAAACUGUCAAUUUUAAUGGAAGUACUCAAACACAGAGGGCUAGCUGUAACAUGUUUCCAUAAGAAGAGAGGAUCAGGUAAAGGACUAGUAAUAGCCAAAGUAAUAUAAUACGUUUAAUUGAUAAGAACAAGGGGAAAGCUUCAUUUGAGUUCAAUUUUGUUUCUUUAGAUUGGUUGUUGCUUGUUAACCAACUAACUUUUGGUGCAAAGUACUUCAUUAGCUUGAUGUAAAUAUUGUUGGUUUCGUUUCAUGGCAGUUUAAGUUUUUAGAGGCUAGUGUUUGUCAAACAUGGUAUUAAAGCUCUAGUUCUAAGAGUUUAUGGUCAAUUAGAAACCUCUAGGCCGCCUCGUUUAUGUUUCUUUCCAUGUUUAAGAAGAGGAUGUACGUGACAUAGGGUGUUAGCAUGCAUUGUAUGACACUUAAGUUUUUUGGGGCCUAGUUUUUUCUAACAUUUUCCUUCUCACAAUUGAAAGACAUUUCAAGUUUGAAUCUUCGUUUAGAGUCUUCUUCCCCUACGAUCCCUUGGAGGGAGCAAACCAAAGUAGAUGCCAGAUCAAGAUGUUUCACAAAACGGCUCCCUAUUGGCUAUUAAUAAUGAACUUUAAUCGCUUUAGCUAACUUUCAACCAGGCGCUUAAUUAGUGCAGUUGUUCGUAAGUUAUUUCCGUAUUUGUUGUUUCUCUCUUUGCUUAGUUUCAAUCUAUUUCCCCCUCUUUCAUGGCAAGAUGGGCAGCUGCCUACAAAUAUCGUAAAAUUUUCUCAAUCAUAUGAGAUUUUACCCAUCUAAAAAUUGAGCAGUUGAGUAAUAGCUUGAUUGUUACAUACAUUUGGCAAAGAUAUUUUUGUUUGUACUGGUAACGCAACCAUCAUGCGACAUUUUCAUAAUAUUAAAACUCAUCAUCAACAAUUUUUUCAGUUGUAAUGUUGCUUUUUAUGAUCAUUACUAGUGCCGGUUAAUUUUAAAGAGUUUUCCUUGUUUAACAUAACUCAUACGUUUUUGUACGUCGUUUCACUUAAUUAAGAUAUGUUAAGGAGACUCUUUUAAAAUUGAGAUUCUCCAUAAACUCUUUAUCAUCUAUUGUUUUAGCAUAAUUAUAUGACAACAUUAUAAAAUAAUAUGUAAAAAAACAUGAGAUGUCGGAAAGGAACUCUAACAAAUGAAACAUUACUCUUCUAGAUAACAUCAGUUAAAAAGUCAACAAAACCUGCCAAUAUCCCGGAAAAUGUGUCAGCCAAUUGUUCACAAUGCGUUUUCUGUAACGGCGUCCUCCGUGGCCACAAUUGCCCUCCCAGUAUUUGUUGCACAACUGCCCUUCACGUCCUCAUCUUUUAACGGCACACCGUUUACUUCAUUCCUCCGAAACGACAAAAACACCCCUCCCUCCCCUCCGUGACUCCGUCCCCAAUGCACAACUGAACAAAGAAACGACGUAGGGUAGAGUCAGGCGGAAUUGACGCCUUAACCGUCGGUAGGGCCCAGGUUUCAGUGGCUUUUAUCUUAAUACAAUGACAGGACAUGGGGCGAUGGUCAUAGUGAAAUUAUUGAAGCUCUUUCUGUAGAGAAAUUUUUAGUUAUGAUUUAUGCAAGUGACAUAAAAAAAUUUAAUUUUUAAGUUAUUAAUCUUUUAAUAUUAUAAACCAUCAUUUUUAUAAAAACACGUGAUAUACCAUCUCGUAUAACGGUUAUACUAAAAAAUCUCUUAUUACUGUGGCAGCUUUGCAGCAGGUGCUAUAUAUCCUAUAUAUAGUUAUAUACGAUACAGAACAUAACCUAAUCCAAAGCAUAAAAAAGCCUCUAAUUCACUACACAUUUGUCGGCAGAGCUUUGUGCUCACUGUUGACCCAAACCAGUGCUCAGAACUUUCUCCGCCGCCGCCGCCACUCAACACCCACUUAAUCAAACAUUCUACCUCACAAUGCAGCUCCUCCACGGCGGCCUCGGCCUUGUGUUGGUUCUGAAUUCGUUGCUUCUGCUUGUGUCUUGUCAAGUUCAGCAACCCCGGGCCAGCACCCGCUGGCUCCCAGCCAUCGCCACCUGGUACGGCAACCCCGAAGGCGACGGCAGCGACGGUAAGAGCCUACCCUCAAACACAAUUCAAUUUGGUUUUAGCUUACAAUGCCGCAUGUUUAGACAGUCAAAAGUAUCAUUUGUACGUACAGUCUCAACAGAUUUUGUACAUCUCAGUUGUAUUAUACUUGCGUCAAUUUAAAUUUAGUCAAGUUGAUUAGAUCAAUGUGCUUGAACUUCACUGCACCAAAGUUUGAAUUUUCUUUUCCGUUAAUAAAGAUAAAUUUAGAGUAAUUAAAGUGAAUUUUUUAUACUUUUCUUCUGUUGAGAUGGUACAAAUUAUUUUAAUUGGUCGUGAAUUAAUUAUGUCGGCAUGUGCUUAAUUUUGGUAGGCGGAGCGUGUGGGUACGGGUCAAUGGUGGACGUGAAGCCGUUCAGGGCGAGGGUUGGUGCGGUGAACCCGGUUCUGUUCAAGAGCGGCGAGGGGUGCGGCGCGUGUUACAAAAUCAAGUGUCUCGACCAGAGCAUCUGCUCGAGACGACCCGUCACAAUAAUCGUGACAGAUGAGUGUCCGGGCUGCUCGAAGGGGCCGGCCCAGUUCGACCUCAGCGGCGCCGCCUUUGGGCGCAUGGCUGUGGCCGGCGAAGGCGGUUUGCUCAGAAACCAAGGCGAACUCUCCGUCCUUUACCGACGGUAACGUUCGCAUAUGUCAUGUUUAGCUUGUUUGCUUUAACGGUCCUCGUUCGCAUAUGUCAAUUUAAUUAUUUUACCUACAGGACACCAUGUAAGUAUCCUGGGAAGCAGAUAGCCUUCCAUGUAAAUGAAGGUUCAACAAAUUAUUGGCUAUCACUGCUAGUAGAGUUUGAGGAUGGAGAUGGAGACGUCGGAUCAAUGCAUAUAAGACCGGCACGUUGUCCUUUCUCUUUUUUAUACAUUGCUGCAUGCCUCUAGCAACUUUACUUUACUUUUACAUUUACUUUUGCUAUUAAGAAAACAAAAAUGUUGCUCGUACUACAUAUUUGUAUCAUAUAUCUAAUAAAAAUGAGACUCACAUAUAUUGGUGUGCCUUACCUUUAUUAGAGAGAUGAUACAAAUGAUGGUACAAAUAUAUAGUAAGUGUAACAUUACUCGAAAGAAAAUGCAUGCCAAAUCAACGAAAUUAAAGAUAGUUUUUCCUUGAAAUAUAACGAAGUACUUAGUCGUACAAUUCCACGUUUUCAAAUAAAAAGCAGUGUAAACAUGUCCAAACUGGUUUACAAACCUUCAAAGAAAAUGAUACUUGUGUAGUGAAUAUUUUAGUCAUGAGAAGCAAGACUUACAUGUUAUGAGCAUAUUGUUGCAUCAACAAUGUACUCGUGAUAUGUAAUUGAGUAAUUUGAAUUGUUAUCUUCCAGAAACAACAUAAUUCCUAUCUCAUACCUCAAUCUGAAACAAUUUUGCAAAGCCAUAUUUUAGCGUUAAUUAAGUGAUUAAAGAAUUUAAAGUUCACUAAUUUUUUAUUUAUAUUUUUGUGUUGGUGGGAUGAUGCAGGCAAGUUCAAGCGAGUGGAUCGAGAUGAGUCAUGUAUGGGGAGCUAAUUGGUGCAUAAAUGGGGGUCCUCUAAAAGGACCAUUCUCAGUGAAGAUUACAACUCUCUCGACAGCAAAAACUCUCUCAGCCAGAGAUGUCAUUCCCGGUAAUUGGUCUCCAAAAGCCACUUACACUUCUCGCCUCAAUUUCCACUACUAGCUUGGCUUAAUGUUUGACAAACAGGUCAUGAUAUAUAGAAUAUAAGCACUUUUUUGACUAAGCAUUUUCUAGGCCCAAAAAAGGCUUGUCCGGUUGUCCCCAUGAGACAAAAGUAGCCGUUGUCGGGUUGGUGUUUUUGGUUUUUAAAGAAAAGUAGCCGUUGGAUUGCACUAAUUAAUUAUAAUGGCAUCCAAUGCUCUUUCUUUUUUUCUUUUUUCUUUUACUUUUGAGAAAUUGUUUUUCCUACUUUCCUGCUGUUCCGACUACACUGAGAUAUGUUGCCAGCCCUCUCCAAAAGGAGAGAGAGCGUGUGUUCUUGCUUUGUUAAUGCUAUAUGUAAGUUUGUGGACCCAAUGGUGUUUUAAUGAAUUUGGACCCUUUGAUUGCACUUUAAUGUCGCGUACCAUUGGAGAUCUCUGAGCAUACAAGAACUCAUGUUGGAGAGCAAAACUUAACUAUAUCUCUUAUCUGCUUUUAUCUCUUUUGCCACAUAAUUAAAUAUAUAACGAAUAAGAUAAACAAGAAGAUAUACAACAAUGUAUAGAUAAACUAUUGUCCUUAUGUAUAGGGUGAUGUUAAACACUUUAAAAAAGAAGUUACGGACAAUCACUCAUGUAAAUUUAGUUGCAUCAACGAUUAACAGACACUCGCAUACACAAUAGCUAGCUUGGUUGUCCGAGUAUAUAUAGUAUCUAGUGCGGCAAAGUAAGUGAAGGAACAAGAUAGAGUUUAGACUACGUACUUUCGGCUGUAGAACAUUAAUUUAUGAGUUCAUAGAAGGGGCCAGGGGUUUCUAUUCCUAUUCCAAAGGGUAACAGCCCUAAAAAUGAAUGUCAGAACCUGUAAUUGAAAUGCAUAAUGAUAUUCUUCUUCAUAUGUAAGUGAGAGGUCUUAGUUUUGAAUAUCGUGAAUAACGAAUUCGAUACCAAAUUGGGUUCCCUAUUGUGUGAUUUAACUGAACUCUCCCCUCCCUUUAUUGUAAAAUAUAUUGUUGUACUAAAAAAAAAUGGAGAUGUAUUGGUCACAUCACAUACAUAUAUGAUCAUCCACAUGCUGACGUGUUUACAACCUUCAAAUCUCUCACAAUUCGCAAGGGCUGCUUGUGUCGAGAAUUUUUAGGACGUUGGGAAUACUCUCAUCAUAUCAAGUAGCAUCAUAUAAGUAAUUAAAAUAUUUAUUUUUAAAUAUCUAACUACUUGUAUUAUAAUACUUACUAUAUCGAAUCGUAUUUUUGGUACACUAAAAAAAAUUUCACUUUUGUAAUGCAUAACAUUGCCAGUGACGAAAAGGGUCAAGUAUUCAAAGGGUUGUUGUCACCACCACAAGUGGGGGGGGGGGGGGGGGGGGGGUCGGGGGGUGGUGGGGCUGGAAAAUCCCCCAAGAUACCGGGAUCUUUAGAGUAGUCUUUUUGCCGGUUCCGUUCUCUGAGGCACCAUGGUCUUAAGACCCCAUAUUCAUUUUUUGGUUUAAAACUUAAAAUUCUUAACUCAGAAAAUUUAAGUUUCUAUCCCAAAAGUUUUCCGUUCUAAUUUUUCUGGAUUAAAUAUCUAGCUCGAAAUUAUUAAGGAAGAAAUUUAGAAUAAUUUUUGUUCUUAAAGUAACUUAAAAAAAAAUAUGUAUACUAUCCAAAUUUACUUUUAUGAACAUUUUAACCUAAAAACAUUUAGAUUUCGAUAAAUAUUAAAAAAUUAGUAAACCGACACCGUGAAACUUGUGGAACACUAUGAAAGAUGACACGCCCUAAUCUCGAUAUUCCCCGAAUACCAGGACAGGCACGUGCUGGGCGACACCCGAGGGUGACGAAAGCCAUUUAUUGAAUGCAAAUGUUGAGAACUAAAAAUAUAAAUAAGAAUAAUAGAGAUUUAAAUAUAAUGAAUAUGCAAUUUAGGAACGUGUUCAGAGCACACAUCUAAUCUAGAACACCAAAAGAAAGAAUAUAAAAUUGAAUGAACAAGGGAAUGUGGGUCUUACACCGAGAGGACUUGAAGAUGCUGAUGCGGAAGUGCCUUGACGCCGGGAUUGUAUACCUCGAUACUAACGCCGGGAUUGUAUGCCUCGAAGGGGGCGCAAAACAAACAUGAGUGGACCAAGUUGAUAUAGAUAUAAUAAAAUAGUUAUCAACAUACUAACCCCCAAAGUUUUAUGAAAACUAAUAGCAUAAUAUGUGAUAGGUUUUUCUGAAAACCCUAGCAUGCCAUAAAACCUUUCAUAAAAUGUAUCUCGUAUAUAGUGUGCUAACUAGUGGUAUCAUAAUCGACCUGAAGGCCGCUACAUCACCCGACCCGAAGACCAAUAUAAUAAUCUUCAAUCGACCCGGAGGCCCUUACAUCACCCGACCCAAAGGUCAAUAUAAGUAUCAUUGCCUGGAGGCAAAACAAUGACCACUAGAUAUGCACAAAACAUUGAAUAUAGUAUUUCCAAACAUAGGUACAUAUAUCUCAAAAACUUCUUCAUAGUAUAAAUUCAUUCAUCAUCUAUACUAUAAAGAAGUGUGUAAAAACAUGUUCUAAAUAGUAUAUCGUCAUCCAUCAGAUAUCCUACGAAGAAAAUGAGUUCGAUAGAAAAUAUGGUAAUUCCAAAAUAUUCUAAGUAAGCAUAAUAUCUCAAAAAACGUUAUCUAAAACGUGAUUAUUAAAUCAUGUUUUUCAUGUAUGCAUUUCUACUAUUAAAACAUGCAUUUUAGAAGGGGUCAACUCACAGAUACUUAGCCGUCGAAGAGCCACGCAAACUAGUGAACACGGAAUCGUCACAAAUAGUUGCCCUUAAGCACAUAAAGGGUCCAAUUAAUAAAACUCUAUUAUAACAAUUGAAUUUGGGAAAACAGACGUCAGAAACAGUUCAGGACGUCGAAUUACCCUAAGAAGGAUCCCGGGUAAAUUUCGCAAAAGUCAAUAGAAUAUUCCUAGAACAUUCUUUAAUGAAAUAUUCCCUAACAUGAAUAUGGAAUAUUCCCUAACAGAAUAUUCCCCAAAAGGGUAUGGGCUAGUUAGGGUUUAGGGUUUGAAAGGUUAAAGGGUUUAGUGGUUAAGGCCCUAGGUUAAAAGAGUUUGGGUUAGGCUUUUAAAAGGGUUGGGCUUUAAGGGUUUCUAAUUUAAAAAGGGUUUUAGUGCUGGGUUAGUGACGGGCCUGGGCCCAGACGCAAAGCCCAAGAGCCUUUGGUUUCCAGAAAAACAAUAAAAUAAAUAAAUAAAUAAAUAAAAGGGGUUCGGGCUUUGGGGGUCACGGGCCUAAGGCCCAAGUUCUAAAUGACCCAAAGGCCUAAGUGACAAAGGGUUAGGGGUUUAGGCUUUAGGCUAAUGAGUGUUUCAUUUGAUUAGGCCUAGGAAAUUAGGUUUAGGUUGGGCUCAUCUUUGGUUUGGGCUGGGCUACCUCAGGCCGGUUCUUUAGCCUGUUUGUUAUGUGGGUCGCUGGAACCAAUUCAAGGAGAAGGCCGGAUUUUGGCUGAGAGAUUGAACAAACUUUAAAUGUUCAUAACGUUGUCAAUACUCAACGAAAUCGAGUGAUUCAAAAAUGAAAAUCAUAGUUCUCGACAAGUCGAAGAGAAUGGUACCUCACACGACGUCUAACUAGCCAUGGUUUGACCAUAAAAUGUCUCGAAAGCCGCAGUGGUUGCCGGAAACUAGGUAAGAUUCAAAUGGAUAUAACUUCUUCAAUACUUAACGAAAUUGGGUGAAACAAAAAGGAAAGUUGUAGUAAUCAGCGAGACAAAGAGAUUGAUACCUUUCAAACCGGCCAACUCACCGUGGUUUGGCCGAAAAUUGCCUCGAAAGGGGUGGUGCUUGCUGGAAAAUUUGGAAAAGCUACUCCGAGUUUUGCGAUUCACACAUAUACACCACUUAAAACAACCUUCGAUCUAACCCUAAAACACAAUCCAAAAGGUUUCUAGAAGCUUACCAAUGUCGAAAAAAUUCAAAACAUGUCGAAGAAUACGAUGAACAGUGACACCAUCACUGUUGGGGUUCCACGAAGGUUUGCUUGAGUUUCCCCGAGGUUCCUACGUCCAUUGGUGUUGGUUUUGGGUUGUUGUUGUUGUUGCUUGUGUGAGUGACAAAAUCGAGAAGAGAGGGAGAGAUCACAGAAGGAGUGCACGGGGAGAGAGAGAAAGGUCUGAGGGUGAGGGAAGAGAUAAAGGGAGGGAAAGUUAUAAAAAAAUCAGAAGAAGAAAGAGAAGGGGAAGGGAACUGGGGGACACAAAUAAUGGGGUGGGCUCCUUGGGCUCACCAACUAAGACCCAAAAACCAUUUUAAAAGGAAAAAUACCCCCAAACUUAGUGAAAAUACAAAAAUACCCUUUUUGUUCCGCAAAUCCCGGGACGGGUUGUUACAAAAGAUAUAAAAGACAUGAAAUUUUUUUUUAUAAUUAUUUUAGCCGUUGGAAUUAAAUUUGGACCAGUAGAUAUUAUUAUUAUUUUUUUUAAAUUUGAUCAUAUUAGAUUUUAGCCGUUACAUUCAAUGAAUUUAUAAAUAUAAAACAAAAAAAAAAUUACACAUAUAUGGUGGACUAGUCUCCACCCCACCAAUUCAGGGGAAAUUCUGGCCUAAGUUUGCUCUAAAAAUGAGUUUUUUUUGUUAAAACUCAUAUUUGACCCAUCGGUUGGAGCAAGUUGGGGUAUGUUUAUAACUUCAAAUUUGAGUUUUACUCCAAGCAUUAGAGUAGAUCUAAAAAAUAAUAGUGGGCGGUUAUUUACUAUUUGAUUUUGAUCUUAAUUUAUUAGAGAAGUAUAAAAAUAAAAGUUAAAUAAUCAUUUACUGUCAGAUUAAAAUUGAACCGUUGAUGAGCAAAUUUUUUUUUUUUUGAACCAUAAGGUCUUGGAGAACGAAAUCUUUUUUUUUUGGGUAAAUAUAUAUGAGAUAGGAUCAUCGCUGGAUCCUCUUAUGGGGAUCCCAGGAAUCCUUUAAUCCUAUCUGUUCAUCAUACAUCGUGUGAUCAGUUUUCGUCAGAUACUGUUCGUGUUCAAUUUUAAAUAAUAAAAUUUAAAAUGAUUUCUGACCGUACGAUGUACUAUGAAAAGACAUGAUUAAAGUAUCUUGGGGAUCCUCACCAAUAGAACUUUUGCCAACUCAAGAAGAUAUUAUGCAAGGAAAACCAAUAGCUAGGAGGAACAUCACUAAGGAUCAAAAAACAUUUUAUUAAGUGGGUUGCAAUGUAGAAUACGUAAUUAUGAUAAAAAUCAAGUUAAUUAUAGAGAAUCAUGUGAUUAUUACUUAACAUAACAAGGUUGGUAGUUAUAUUGUGGACGUUCUAUUACAUUGUCAAUGUAAGUUUUUCUAUUUCAACGUGAUUGAAUUACAAAAUCAACAUUUAUUGUACACCAAUCGCAUACUAUUACAAUACAGACGUAUGUUAUUACUAGGGAACGUUACGAACUUACACAAACUAUUAGUUUUAACCUAAAUUUCUUAAGAUAAAAUUGCGGAUUUAAAUGAAAAUAUCCCCAAACGCAAUGAUACAGUGAAAACCUACAGUCAUGUCGCAAGCAAUUAAAUGAAAACCAUCCGAAUGAGAACGAUCGGUUGGAACCGGGGGGGGGGGGGGGGCAGGAUCAUAGAAAGACAAUUGGGAAACAAAAAGGCUAUUGGGAAUAUAAACAAAGACUUGCGAGUAAAUUGGUUGGCAGCACGCGUCGGGAGGGGGGGAGAAUCAUAGAAAGACAAUUGGGAAUCAAAAAGGCUAUUGGGAAUAUAAACAAAGACUUACGAGUAUAUUGGUUGGCAGCACGAUAGAGGCUACAGAGUGUUUCACUCUCAUGUUAUAUAUGAGUCUGGAAGUGGAAGUAUAGAUCAUAUAUAUAUGCUCUGAGGGAGGGAGGGGGGCCGAAGGAUUCCUCAUUCGACCUUAUAAGUUUCUCAACCUGAAAGUAUAAUCAUCUCAGGCUACAUCAAAGUUGGAUCAUCCUGGUAUCCUAUCAACUGCCUAUAAAUAUUCCACGUUUUAGAUCUAAACGUAUGAUUAGUCGAUAUAAACUCUCCGGCAUUAUCCAGUCUCCCGAACUUUAUGGGAUAAGUAGAGUGGUGAACCCUUAAUCGGCCAGGAGGUUUAGCAGCAAUGUGUGUGGACAAACAUGUGACCAGUUUGUCGAUUCAUCAACCAAAACCAUAAGUAUUUAUAUGGUCCGCAUUUUGGUUGGAUUAGUCCAUAUAUAUUCCCUUAAAUCCAUUGUGAAAAGAGAGUCAUUUCCUAUCUUUGCGAGGGAUGAUAUAAAAAUCAAAUUUCCCAAAUGAGCGAGCUUUGGCACAGGCAAAGUGUGCUUGUAAACACAAUCCUGACUUCGGGUAAGGAGAUGCGUCGUAGCAUCAUUGUUCGACCUAAGUGUCCCAAAAGGUUGUGCCAAAGCAAGUAAACUGCUCGAAUCACCAAGCUCUAGGCCGGCCACAUGUGGUGUGUUUCCCAGUUGGGAGACAACCCGUUGGCCCCAAAUCAAAGCUUUAGGCUCAUUUUUGGAGGUGGUGUAAAAACAUUUCACUCUAUUUUCUUCAGUGGUUUCAUUGAUGAUCAUUGUUCUCUAGAAUAUCCUUAAAAACUCAACGACAGGGAGAAUUUAAGGUCCCUUAAAUGGUAAUGCAGUACCAUUCAUACAACGAGGAGUGUGCCAAUGCUCUUAAUCAGGUUGGAUAUACCUGAAGUCGUUGCUAGAGAUGUGAUUUAGAUGUAAAGUUACUAUGCGUAGUAUCGCAUUCAUCCAGACAACUAACAUUCCCACAUUCAUACUUAAUCAUGUGUUUAAUUGAAUUGGGUCACAUGUAUAAAGACACAUGAUUUAAUUAACUCGUAUUCGAGGACAAUAUCAAUAAGAUUAUCCAUAAUUAAAACAUACACCAAACUUGAAUCCAAGAACAUGGAAAAAUGUUCACAAAGUAAAUGGUUUACUAAGAGGAUUCGGCCAACAAGGCCAUCCAUGUCAAAAUUCUGCUAUUCCAACGGUGUUUGGUGGAGCAAAAUUAGUUUCACAUAUUGACUACGAGAACGGUACUCUUCAACGACAUUGAUAAAGGCACGAGCAAGUGCAUAACCAAUGAUCUAUUCCAUCGAGACGAAAGUAGAUUCUACAGGGUUGAGGUUUGGGAAUAUUAUCCCUUAUUCUUGAAGUUUUAGGUCUUAGGUGUCAAGGAUCAUGCUUCGGGCAUGAUGCCACACCUUGGCAGGCCCUGAUUCUACCAUAUGUUGUAAAAACAAACUAGAAAUUGGAUUGUGAGAGACAGACCUAAAAUUGGAAACUUCAGCCGAAGUUAGAAGGGUCUGUUCGGUAGGUCUCUGCAGAAACAGAGAAGUACCAUUCGAUGCGCCUCUACCGAAGCAAGGCAUCACCGUUCGAUAGGCUUUGAUCAAACUGGGUUGAGCCAAUCGGUGGACUCCAGCCGAACUGAGUCCAUACCUUUCUCUCACGUUUUGGGUAGUAAUCAGAUCCGAAAAUUUGGUAAACUUCUGCUUUCUACACUACUGCUUUAGGAGUAAGUUAGAAACAAAGAAGGACGAGACAAGUAUUCUCCAGUCAAAAUUCGAUCGGAUUUAUAAACUUUAGAAUUGUACUCAUUUAUGGACGUAAUCAUGGUGUGUUUCGGGCAAUAUCUUUCAUGAUUAGACAGUCCUUAUGAGCGAGCCAAAGAGCCCAGAAAUGCUGGUUCGAGAGGUACUUCCGUUUGUAAUGCUUCGAGCAUAAAUCUUCGAAUGAAGAUCAUGGUGGAGGCUUAUUCAGCUCUUCCUUGCCAUUGUUGGCUACAAUGGUUUCUCAGCUUCUCGAUAGUUAAUGGGAGAUUCACGUCUUGUAGCCCACAUAAAGUGGUUUCUAUUAGAAACAUCCAAAUCAGGGAAAAUCCAACUUGUGACGAUUCGAGAAUCCACUGAAUUAGAGGGAACAAGAUUGUGAUUGGUGCUAUGGGAAUGAAUCAUCACUAAGCAUCAAAAUUAGAACAUUCGAGUUCCAAGACAUGGUAUACAUGAAAAACGUUGUGUUUUCAUGGGUGUAUUGUUUUAUGAAACUUCGGGUUUCAAAGGCACUAAAUUUGAAACUACAAGUUCAAUUUAGUUUAUUAACGUUUAGUUCAUAAAAGAGAGGUUCCUACAAGAACACAUAAUGUAAUAUGCUGAUUUAAGUGUAGUGGAUUUGAGUUGCUUUAGAAACUCAAGUGUGAGUGUUUCGGGACUACGAAAGGAUGUCAAUGGUUCAAAGAAAAGAAAUAAAAUAUUGAAUCGUUAAUGUCCAAAACUGGUCUUCAGGUUAAUAAUUUUGGAUUCAUUAUCAGAUUAAUGGAAUGCAGGUCACUUUUAAUUAAUUCAAUAAAUCAGGCUAUACAUGGUCGAUUGUAGAAGCAAAAAUAAUAAUAACAUUCGAGUUUAAAUUAUUUAAAAAUGCUAAAUAAUAGCAUUGGGUCGAAAAAAACCAUAGCCCAAAAAAUUGGGCUGGGUGCCGUGUAGGUUCGGUUGCAGUAUGUAGCCCAAGGGAUGGCUUCAUGACACACCUCGACCUGGGAAGGUCGAAGCAUGUUGGCCAUCACCGUGAGGUGACGUAACCAUAAGGGUAAGUGAUGUGAAAAAGUGAAUAAAUUUAAAUCUAAAAUUGCCUAAAACAAAAGAGUGCGCGAGUGAGCGGGAUUGCACCCAUUUCACACGUGAUGGUAAAGCAUAAGAACAGUACAGUAAUUAGGGUGAGGGUUAUACCACUAAGGUACCCAUCUACUAAGAUCUUGCCAGAGUCCUCGUUUACAUGCAAGCACACCUACUAAACCUGGAAGGGCGAAAAAUAAAGUUGAGUGGGUCAGUAAAACAACGUUUUGUAAAAAACCUUUAUUUCCGAAUAUACUAACCUCUCGCUGUAAAACAAGUAUAGUUUCCUUAAAACAUACUACGUAAGUAUGUAAACAACAAUACAAUAACAUUAUAACUAGAAAUAUGCCAAGUCAUGCGAUAUCAAAUGGCACAAUAAUAUAAUCAUGUGAUAAUCAAGUAUAGCUAAGUGCUUCUCCAUCUAGGUUGACACACGAGUUCGAACAGAUAAUUUCUGACACGAACAGGACUGGGUGUAAUCAACAUGCUCUAGUACUACGAUCACGUGAAGGCUGGUGCAGAAGCACGGUCACAUACAAGUCAGAUUGCCUAAUGCAAUCUACCUGACAAGACUGGCACUUAACUUGGAUCCAAGGCUAGUGAAUGGUGCGAUGUGAACAUACACGUGAAGGACUGGCCCUGGCCCUGGCCCUGGGGCGAGUACUAACACCGGUGCAGCAAGAUGAGCAUGUACAAAUAUGUAUGAAUGUCAUGACAAUAAUAUCUCAACCAUAUAGCAGCAUUUAUCACAAUUACAUCGCAGUUAUCAGUUAUUUGGCAAUAUAUACAUAAAGUGAUGUAUUUAUGCAACUCCAGAAACUAUAAAUACGUAUAGAUAUAAAAAUAAACUGCCCACUCACCUGGAGUCUGUGCUAUGACUCCUUAGCACGAAUAUCAAGACGUCAUGAACAAACGUUGCCUAGAACAAUUAUCAAAUCACAACUCAGGAUUCUUAUCGAUAGAACACACAACUGACAUAAAACACAUCCCCAAGGGCAUUCUAGAAUGAUUUGAAACUCAUUAACCAAAAGUCAACUGUCGGUCAAAGAUUCACAACCCUACAUAACUUGAUCCAGAAGCUCCGCACCUCGGAUUUUCAAUCCGUAACUUCCAAAGAUUCACAUUAUGCUUCUAGAACAACAUUCUAAAGUUUCAGAACGAUCCAAUGGUCGGAUCUCCGCCAAUUGCCAAAAUUAAGUGGAGGUCAACACUUUAUUUUGUGAACUAACAAAUUCAAUUCGGGAAGAUCCGUACAUCGGUUUCCCGAUCCAUAAGUUUCUAUGAUCCUCAAAUAUUACGUUCUAUAAGGUACUAAGGUUUGGUGACGAUCCAACGGUUGGAUCGUCAAUUCAUGCAAGGACCCUAUGACGGCCAACUACGAAACUACAUGAAAACAUUGUAAUUUCACUAAACGGAUGACAAAUAUGGAAUAGGGGCUUCAAAAUUAGCCUAAGGCGGUCAGAUGGGGUCUCGGCCCACGCGCUGCCGCGCGUGGUGGCUGGCUACCACGGUUCGCCAGAGAAUUCCACUAUUUCUUAAAAUUCUCAAAUUUUAUAGAAAUAAAGAUCUCAAAGAGAUGAACAACUUUCAUACCUGCCAUGAAGUCCAAAAGUGGACAGAAGAUGGUCAAUUUUGCCCACAAAGCCAAGGGUGCCUAAAACUUCCCGGCGUCGAUUCGUCGUCUAUGGUGGACCAACGGGGUCAAGGUUGGUUGGGAUUUUCUCCUGGGAUGAUGGGCUACAAAGCCCAAAUGGUGGCAUCGGCAUUGCUUUGCCGAUUUGCCUGAAAAUUGAAAAGAGUGGUCGGACAAGGUUUUGAUGGGUCGGAUUUCGUGGCUUCGUCCCGCCACAUGUGGUGGUUUCUAAAGGUGAUUCUUAGUUGGGUUUUGUAGAGGGGAGUGAGGACUUCAAGAUGGUGGUGGCGGCGUCGAAAAACUUCACUGGAGUUGGUCGGAAUUGGCCUUGGAAAAUAGGUCCUUUUUUUUUUUUUCCUUUUCCUGAUCUAAUUUCUGAAGGCUUUCCUUCCUUUUAUGUGAUUGGUCCCCCUUAUUUAAGCCUAAAAUCUGAUUAGGCUUCUUUCCCACAAGGUGGGAAUUCAAUUAACUUAUAAACCAAAAUAUAAAUAACCAAAUUCAAAUGUCUGUAACUAUACUGUUAUAAUCCGGACUCGCAAACGGCUUUUGCUUAUGCGUUCAUAAUGACGAGUACUACGAGGGUACACUAAAAUAAUAAGUCCUACCUUUCUCAAAUCAAUGGUCAACGGAAGUCAAAGUCCUUACCUUUAGGGCAUUUUUGUAAAUUCACAUUUUUAAAAUUAAUAAAAACGUACAAUUAGGGACUGGUUGUCACACUUCAGGCAACGGGCCAUAUGCAAGGGAGCCUAGCAGCAGCAGCUCUUGGUUUUAGGCUGAAAGGGGGGCAUGGGUUAGGCCCAGCAACAGCUGGCCAUGGGUUGGGUUCGGGGCAAAAGAAGCCCAGCCUACUGGGCUGGCUUGGUGACACGCGGGCUAGGAGGGUCAAGCCUAGCAAGCCAAGGGCUUGCGUCGUGUGGGCCAAGGUGAGGCAAGGGUUCAUCAAAUAGGUCAGGCCGUGUUGGACUCAGGGGUUUGGAUCGAGGGCUACAGGCCUUAGGGUUAAUCAACCCAUUUUUUUUUUUCCGACAUGUUAGGGUUAAAAAAAAACUAGAAUUGCUUCUAAUUUAUUUUAUAUGCUUUGACUCACAAUUCCACAUAGCAAAUAUAAUUGUGUAACGCAUGAAACAAAUAUAUAAAUAUAUACAAUAUAUAUAUAUAUAUAUAUAUAUAUAUAUAUAUAUAUAUAUAUAUAUCGUAAGGAAAAUAUAAACAUAGAGGAGUUCAUGCAUCAUGGGGAAUGUUUUCAUGCUUCAUGGUCGUUUCAAAUAUCUUCCUUUAUUUUAAGCGUACCUGGUUGGUAGAAAACAAUAAAAGCCUUUGAAUUUGUAGUAGAUCUUCUCGGAAAGCCGAAAUUGCAUCUCCAAUGCAUUGUAUUAUGUUCAACAAAGAUAAAUUAAAUUGAAUCAAUAGCAUGUAGAUCAAUUAAUUUAAUCAUAAAAAAAAAUAUUAAAAUGUAAUACUCCCCUGAUUGAAGAAUAAACUCUCUUUAGCGUAGCGUCAAGAGCGUGUUGAUAAUGUGUUGUAGGCAUAAUUUACUGAACUGUAUAAAGGCCAGAGAGAGAGAGAGGGGGUGCGGCACAUAGAGAGAGAAGAGAGAGAUGUGUAAUUGUGGAUGUGUUCUAUUUUAUUCCACCCCAUUAUGUCUUUAUUUAUAGUAAUAGGAUAGGUAAAAUCUUUACCCUUUUAUGAUUACAACUCUUAAUAGGUAAUCAACUCCUAAUAGGAAUAUAAGAGAUAUUCUUAAAUUCACUAGAAUUUACACAAUCACAUUCCUAAUCUAAUACGACUACAACAAUUGUCUAAUUAUGUGAGCAAUUAUCGUUCUAAAUAGUGGAGUUGUUUUUUGUUAUUUUGCCAAAAGAGUGGAGUUGCUCUAACGCAAUGAUAGGGUGAAACCUAAGCUCAUUUCGCAAGCAAUUAAAUAAAAACCAUCUGAACGACCAGACAAAAUAGCAAUAGAAGAAGUUAAAGAAAAAAAGAAAUUAAAAGGGCAAAAGUGUUACGUGAGAGAGACGAGAGUAUGUGACUUAGAGCUUUUUUUAUUCCCUUUGAUUGUGAGGGGAAUAAUAGAAAGACGAUUAUUAAAUGAAAUAGCGUAAAAAGACUUGCAAGGGAAUCGACUUUGAGUGCCGAGAGAGUGUUUCAUUCUCACAUUAUAUAUGAGUCUGGAACUAGAAAUAUAGAUUUAUGUAUGCUCUGAGGGAGGGUGGGAGGGGGCGCGAAGGAUUCCUCAUUCGACCUCAUAAAUUCCUCAUCCCGGUAAGUUUUCCCACCUACUGCCUACAAAUGUUAGAGACACUACAUUUUGUAAAUUACAUAAUAUGAAAGUUGAUGAUUAAACUAUUACUCAAGUGUAGAUUAACGUGCUUAUUUUUUAUUAGUGAUACAUUGUUUAAUUUACAAAUUUAAUCUACUUAGUAUUAUUCUUCCUCGCUUUAGAUCUAGAGGUAUUAUCAUAAUGAAGUAUCUGCUUUUUCUAUUUUUAAUUAUAGUAUAUGUUGGAAAAUCAUACAUAUCAAAUGAAACUCGUUUAGGUUCAUAUCUAGUGGAAUUAAUGAAUUUCAGACCACCUUAGUGGUCUUGCUAGAGUUAGGGUGAAUGUUUGGUCCAAUAUUUAAAAAAGGAAUAUUACUCAAGAGACAUUAGUAUAAUCCAUGUUCUAUACUGAGUGAAUUACUAUUUAUUCAAUAAUUACAUUAAAUAAACCUGACGUUAUAAAAUUUAUGUAUGGUUCCAAUAAUAAAUUUGGUAGUUUAAGUAAGGGUAAAUUACAUUUUACCCCCUCAGGUUUGGGGUCAAUUUCAAUUUUUUACAACAUCUUUAAAACAUUUCAAAUUCAUACAUUUACUUAUCAUUUUAUUUCAAUUUUAUACAUCCGUUAGAAAAAUCUGUUAAGUAAACUGUUAAGUGACGAUGUGGCAAAUAUAGGAUCCACAUUUGUGUGCCACGUGGCAAAUUUUUAUUUAUUUUAUAUUAUAAUAAUUUACCCUAUUAAAAAAAAAGAGCAAACCCAAAAUCCCAUCUUCCCCCGACCCACCUCCUGGUCCUCCACUCUCUUCACCUCCCCUCCUAUCCAAAAACCCACCCCCACUGCCUCUUCUUCUUCUUCAUGGGUAUCUCCUUCUUCUUCCUCCCACAUCUUCUUCUCCACCUAAGAGGCUUGUUAAUUGAAGAUGGUGUUACAGAGGUCCCUGAAAUUGGGGUCCCAAUGUUUGAACAAAUUGAAGAACGAGAGGUGUCGGGGACGAAUGUGUAGAGGCUGUUGGAGCCUCUGUGGCCCUCGAGGCUUACCAUUGUCAAAAACGACAAGAACUUCGCCGAGGGAAGUCGAGUCCGAGACGGGGCUCUUCGAUUUAAGGGCUUGGGGUUUGAAAAUCACCAAGCACAGACUUGUGUUUGUUCCACGAGAAACAUUGGAUCAUGGUGGUGGUCUGAUAUCAACGGGGAACGACGGUGAAGCCACUGUUGGAGUCGUCUUGGUGCGUCGGGAAUCGUCGGAGAAGACGAUGAACGGUGGGAGCAACCACUGAGGAGGUGGGGGGGGGGGUAGGGGGGUUGCGAGGGAGGCGGGGGUGGGGAGGGAUGAGGUGGGUUUUUGGAUGGGAGGGGAGGUGAAGAGAGUGGAGGAGAGGGAGGUGGGUCGGGGGUGGAAUGGGUUUCUGGGUUCUGUUUUUGUUUUGUUUUUUUUUUAAUUAAUUAUCUUAUUAAAUAUUUAGCCACGUGGCACAAAUGGGACAGCUACGUCAACUCUUAACGGACCAAUUGAUGGAAAAUGUAACGGAGGUAUUAUAUUGAAAUAAAAUAGUACGUGAGGUAUGAAAGUGAAAUGUAUUGACACUAUUUGUAUUGACACUAUUUGAAGUAAAGUGUAAUUUACCCAUUAAUUAGUUAACGUAUUGACACUAUUUGUAAUUUUUGUUCUUGUUAAUAUAUAAUACUUGAUUAGGCGAGUCACAUUUGGAGUUGGAAAGAGUUGAUGAUGACAGAUUUAGCUGAAGAGAGCAAUAGUGCAAACAAAGAUCACUCCGUAAUUCAAGUAAGGGAGGAGGGAGAGAGACGUGAGAUAGAAAUAAGUGAUGUGGGUAACCAAACUUUGAGUGGAAAUGAAACAAAUAAAGACGAAUUAUUAGCGUCCCUUAUAGAAAAAAAGCUUCCCCAGGAAUUUCCAAAACCUGAUCCUACUUGCAUAUUCAGAGUCCCUAAUAAACUUGGCAGGGACAAUGAAAAUGUUUUUGUCCCACAAGUGGUUCCGAUCGGGCCCUAUCACCACGGAGGAAAAAAGUUCGAAGCCAUGGAACAAAUUAAGCUAUGGAAUUUGCAAUGCCUCCUCAAACGCCAACCAACUCCAGAAACCUGUUUGGUGAAGUUUGUCGAGGAAAUUAGAAGCAAAGAAGAGUUUCUUCGUAACUGCUAUGACGAAAAGCUUGGUGAUCAUCUCAGUAGCGAUCAGUUUGUAGAAAUGAUGGUGGUCGAUGGUUGCUUUAUUUUAGAACUUAUCCGCAAAGAUAAUCCAAUUUCCAUAUAUGAUGAUGUUUUCAGUAUGCCAGAGAUGUUGUCGAUAGUUAAAAACGACUUGUUCCUGCUAGAAAACCAGCUUCCGUGGAAAGUUCUCGACUGUUUAUUCAACCUGACAAAAGAAUCAGGAGAGAUUUCUCUAUAUCGACAAACUUUGCCAUUAAUUGGCGGAGUUAUGCCUAAUUGGAUGAUCACAGAUUACCAAAUUGUCGUGAGUAUUGUGGAUAAAGAACGGGAGACAUGGCAAUUCAGACAUUUACUUGACAAUGCAGGAGAUUUUCUUGUUGGAUCAUUAUCGAGGAAUAAGGACCGUCCACGUCGUUAUGGAUUUUGGGAUCCUAUUCCCUCAGUGACACAUCUUGAGGAGAUUGGAGUCAAAUUUCAACUUGCAUCCUUUGAGACAGAGCUGUUGGGCAUAACCUUCAACAGGGAAAAAGGAGUGAUGGAAAUUCCAAGGAUGAUAAUUGGAGCCAACACAGAAUGUGUCUUGAGAAACCUCAUAGCCUACGAACGGUGUUCAAUGAAGCCCCAUUACAUUUUGUCUUAUGCCAUGCUGCUGAAUCAGCUUAUCAAGUCUACCAAAGAUUUAGACUCUCUCGUUCAGAAAGGAAUUGUACUAACCAAUUUGAGCAAGGAGGACACGGUUUCUUUGUUCAAUAGGCUUUGCAAUGACACUGCAUCCAUCCUGUUCGUUUACUCUCAACUCGCCCUCGACGUGUAUUUCUAUAAUCGAGAUCGUUGGCUAAGGCGUUGGCUUGCUGGGAUAAAAAGGAAUUAUCUAUACAAUCCAUCGUCAAUCUGGUUAGUCUCAAAUGCGGUCAUCAUUAUUCUCAUUCUUACCGUCAUGCAAACCCUAUAUAGUGUUCUCGCCUACUACAAGCAAAAGUAGUAACCUUCCAAUUGAUCAAUGUUCGUUGGAGGACAUAAAACUCAACAAGACUUGCGUGAUUGCUGGCAAAGUUAUGAACUAAAGCAGUGUUGUAAUUGAUUAUGUGUGACAGUAAUACAGUUUGGAACUACCUUGCCAUCUUUUGUUUUCAACUUCUGAAUAAUUUGUAAAACUAUUUGGUAAUUUUUUAUCAUUAUUCAACAGUUUAUCAUGAAUAUAUUACUUAUGUUGAAUUAGUGGCCAAGUGGCCAAGUUUUGGCUAAAUAAAAUAAACAAAAGGAGGUAGACAACAUCAUUAUGUUUGUUGAAAAGAACAAAAAAGGUUAUGAUGAUGUUUGUAUAAAAAAAGGUAAACGCUAGCAAGUAGCUUUAUUAUUGGUUUUGUUUAUUGGGUGUUUUAUGAUGGAUGAAUGUGAGCAUCCGAAUGUAAAAAGAGGGAGGGUACACCAUUUCUGUUGUAGUAGCCCAUCUUUGAGAGAGCAAAGGCAGUAGCAGAGAGCAGAAAAGAAAAAGAAAGUGCUCAUCUCUUUGGUUAGUAAUCACUUACCAAGGUAGUUGUUGUUGUAAUAGUUUUAAGCUUUGUAUAGAGCGAAAAUUAUUCAUUAUAUUUCUCUCUAUUUGUUUCUUUGGUGUGUGAGAGUUGUUGGUUGUAUUGGGGUUUUUGGGUUGUGAGCUUGUCAACACUUUGUAAACUCCCAUUUGGUUGAUAGUGGAUUAUUAGGUGAGCUCCUACUACUCCGAGGACGUAUUCCAGUUACACUGACUGUUGAGGAACCUCGUUAAAAUCUUGGUGUUCUUUUAUAUUUUGUUCUUGCAUUCCAUUUGAUAUUUUUCUUGUGGGUUAGCUUGAAUUGGUUCCAGAAGGUUUGGUGCUAUCCUAGCACAACAACUUAGUAUCUAUAACGUUGAUUUGUUCUAUGCAUUUACUAAAUAAUCUCUGAUUGAAAUGAUUUUUUGUUAGGAGUGAUCUUCAAAUGAAAAUUAAGAAAUUGAACGAUUCCGAUUAUGAAAUUUGUAUGGUCAAAGAUAAGUUAUUCAAAAAAUAAUUGCGAUAGCAUUGAAUUCGAUGAAGGUGGUUUUGCUUACGAAGCAAAGCCUGCAAAACCCUAGAGGAAGUUUGGAAGAAAACUCUGCAGUCUGUACAUUCCAUUCUGCAGACUGAUUGUGUUUAUUCUUCUUCUUCAUAGUAAAUUUCUAAGCAUUAGACACAUAGAUAAUGUAAAGAACAAUAUAUAUAUAUAUAUAUAUAUAUAUGUGAAGGAUCAUUACUCUGCAGGAGUUAGCGCGGUUUCCGAAUGUUGCUCACCCUCUGGUUCAGCAGGAGCCUCUGGUUUUGAUAAAACAGGUGCACUUCAGCUGUAGCUCCAGCUACGGUUGGUGAAUUAAUUUUUCCAUUCUUCGCAUGCCUUCCUUCCUUUGCAUACUUUCUUCCUUUUCUACUUUUGCAUCUUUUGCAUCCUUUCCAUCAUUUGAAUCCUUUGCAUCCUUUCCUUCUUUUAUCCCUUUGCAUCCUUGCCAUCUUUGGCAGGUGGGGGCGUGAAAUCGUGCCUCAGGUAGAGUAAAUAGAUAAUCGGAAUAUGAUUGAACAAGGAUUUCAAUCCCAAAUCAAACUAAUAAAAUCUUGCAGCAUAAGUAAAUUAGCACAAGGAUUUUUGUACCCAAUGGUACAAGGAAAAAACCCAACGGGAAAAACCUCUAGAAAUCAACUAAGAAUGGAGUAUUACAAGACUCAAGAAGAUAAACUCUAAACAAGAAUCUACCCAAUACUUUUGUCUUGCCUUACUCGGUUCUUGUUUGAACUCUCUCGAAUCGAUGAUCUUCACGAACAAGCAUGCCAGGAAACAACAUCCAAUAUGGAAUAUGAAAUAUGAAGAUGCAAACUAGAAAUAAAAAGCUUCACAAAGUUGUUUUAUCAUUCUAAUUUUCCAUGAACUCACCUUUGCUUCUCUCAAUAUAAAUCUCUCAAAUCAGUUUUUGCAGAAAUGAGUAACAAAGGUCUUCAAGCUUUGUUCUUUAAUCAAGAGAAAUCACGUUCCAAAAAGAGUAGGAAAAAGUAGAAUUGGUUUUAACGUGAAAAGGAGGAAAACAAUUCUGCUGAUUGAUUUUAUUAUGAAUUUCAUUCCUAAUAAAACUUAAUCACAAAAAUAUAGUUUUCCUAAUAUGAUAUGCAAAUGCAAAUUACCUUGUAGACAUAGUCAACCCUUGAUUUGCUCAAUCUGGGUAAGUCUUGUGCCCCAAAUUAAUUUGCCUAAAAACUAGGUCUAAAUCUAAGAAACGAGGACACAAUUACAAGUCUAGGAAAUUAGCCAAUUCUAAAGUAAAUUCACAUUUACAAUCUCCCCCUUUGGCAUUUCCUAGACAAAACCCCAACACAAGGAAAAAAGAAACCACCCAAUCUCAACUUGAUCAAGGAUUCAACUCUGCACAAUAGUAAAUUAGAUAGCAUAUAGUUGUUAGAGUAUCACAACCACAAGUACUCCCCCUCAAUAUAACCACUUAUGCAGAACGAAGGCUCCCCCUUAAUCAUAGCAGAACAAGACUCCCCCUUAAUCAUAGCAGAGUGACCAAUUAACCUAGGGUUUGCACUAAUCUCCCCCUUUUUGGAAAGGAAAGCCAAAGAUGUAUGACCAUCACCUGUAUUUGGACAACUCUGCACACUUGCACAAGAAUCAUGGAAAGCGUUCAUACCCAUACAACACAUGCAAUAGAUGAACUAGAAGAAUGAAUGUAAAUGAAUGAUGAACAGAGAAACAUGGUAGCAAGACAUAAGCAAAACAAAUUUGUGGGGGGAAACAAGUAGAGCAUCACAAAAAGUUAUUUGGCGUGAUACAAGCAUAACAUUUCCGACAAACUCAUCAUGGAUGUUCAUAAACCACAAAUAAUAAAGAGAUUAAAAACCAAAGACAUGGAGCAGGAGUUGAGGUUGCCAAGUUAGAGAGCAAAGUGCUUAGAUUCAAUUAAGAAGAUGAAAAAGUGUGUAGUGUGAGUCAGCACAAAGGAGUUUACACAUGUGAAGAAUACUGUGCUUUUGACUAAUGAGAGCCCACAAUGCGUGAUCAUGUAGCCUUGCUUCCUAGAAUAGUUGACCUGCAUAAAUUUAAGUUUUGAGCAUGGGGACUGUGGACACCUUCUUUCAAUGGUAGCUAUACACUCCAAUCCACUGGCUUUAAGUUCUCAACAAGUGUGAGAGGUGUAAAGAUUUUCAAUAUGCCAUGCAGUAGGAAUUAUAGGUAGCUUUUUCCACAUCAUGUCGUCUUGAAAAAUUUUGCCCCUUAAUUGUUUUUUUUUAAUUACACACACACACAGAGUUGGUCCAAGUGUCAUAAGAAGCAUGGCCUAACGAAGACAAUGUGUGCCUCACUUUGUCUCAGUUGAAUUCUAUACAAGGGCACACACCAAGAAUAUUGACAGAGUGCAAGAAGAAUUUUUAUGGGUUGUCAAUCCAAGCACUCAGCAAAGGGACCAUUUUAACCACUGAUCUCAAGGGUUCAAUCUCAAUAUUAUUCACAGUUGUAAAACACGUUGGAAGGAGAGAUGUCAAUCUAAGAUCAAGUAAACACGAAGCAAUUGCCAGAGAGUUUAGCUCAUUUCCCAACAAGCAGUGAAGAACACCAAUCAAAACAAAAGAAAAAUAUAUAGAAAAUGUUUUAAGAUUUUUUUAAAUGAAAAUAAAAAUAAAAUGCAAUUUUUACACAAUGUGAUGCAUUUGAGACAGUAUCCUAGCUGUUCAAGAGAUAGUACAAAUGCCAAUGGACUUUCGGAGGUGUUCAAAUCUAGUAGUAUCCAAGGGUUUUGUAAAAAUAUCAGCAAGUUGAUUGUCACUAUUCACAUAAUCAUGUCGAAGAACCCCAUGUUCAACGAACUCACGAAUAAAAUGAUGUAGGAUAUCAAUAUGCUUGGUUCGGGAAUGCUUAACAUGAUUCUUAGAAAUAUUUAUGGCACUUUGAUUAUCACAGAAAAUGAUCAGCUUACCUUAAUUAAAGCCAUAAUCACACAACAUUUGCUUCAUCCCCAGAACUUGAGUACAACAACUCCUAGCUAUGAUGUACUCAGCUUCAGUUGUGGAAAGUGAUACACAUUUUUGUUUCUUACUGUGCCAUGAAACCAUAUUGUUUCCAAGAUAAAAACAGCCACCAGAUGUGCUUUUUCGAUCAUCAAUAUUUCCAACCAAGUCUGCAUCUGAAUAGCUAUCAUGCUCCUGUAAAGUGUCUGGUCAACAUCUUUUCAAGUUAGAUUUUAUGAAGCUUGGUGGUGGUGCUCAUGGGAUUUGUGACUAGCUUUGCACUUUCGAAUCCAAACUUUGAAACCAAGUCCUUUGCAUACUUAGUUUCAGAUAGAAGCAUCCCAUCUUUUAAUUGUUGUACCACCAAUGCUUUGAGUUGACAUUGGACCUACCAAAUCCAUAUGCAUAAGCUCAAGAAUUUUGGUGGUUCCAAUGAACUUAGUUACACUGUGAGCUGUCCUAGUUUGCUUCCCAAUUUGACAUCCUCCACACACUCCUUCAGGCCUUCCACUUAGUGAUGGCAGUCCAUGAACGUAAGACUUAUUUGACAACUUGAGCAAAUCUCGAUAAUUCACAUGUCCUAAUAUUUUGUGCCAUAACUCCACUUGAUCAUCCGCUGCCUUGAAACACAAAUUUGAAUUGUCAGUGCUAGUGCAAUAACAAUUCUCUUUUGAUCUUGGUGCACAUAUAACUUGUUUGCCACUUAGAUCACUAACUAUGCAAUUUUUGGUGUUGAAUUUAACUUCUCCAAACUCAUCACAUAACUGACUAAUACUCAAGAGAUUAGUAGUUAGUCCAUCAACAAGUAUAACAUCAUUUAAGGGAGGUGAGCCAACAAUCUUGACAAUACCUUUACCUAAAAUGCAAGCUUUCAUACUGUCACCAAAGGUUACAGACCCACUUACCUUCAUAUCGAUGAAAGAUCGAAAUCAAUUUUUGUCACCUGUCAUAUGUCUAGAACAACCACUAUCAAAGUACCAUUUGUCUUUGAGACAUGCACUCAGAGCUGUAAAUGCAACCAUACAAACAACAUUAGUCUCAUCUAUGUUAGAAGUGAUAGCUAAGGAACGUAGUAAGUUCUAUUGAACUUUUUCUUUUCUUGAUCCAGCUUGUUCCUUUUUCUUGCAUAACCAUGUCUGCUUCAUUGUUCCAGAUUGCAUUAAAGCUGACAAUCCGCGAACUUCUUUUGCUAACUCUGAAAUUUAAAUUUGAAGAUUUUCUGCAGUAAACUUGUUAAACUUUUUAACUCUAUUUUGACAUCUUGGCCUAAUAUGACAUGUUUCACCACAACCAUAACAAACUUGAUUAAACCUUUUUGGCACAAAACUAGAAAUUUGCAACGCUGCCUCGAUCGCAAAUCAAACAUCACCUUUAGAAACUAGAACAAGGUCUACACUUUAUUAUAUUCACUUAAAAGUAAGAUAUUUUAGAUUUAAAUCUAGUAGACGAUGAAAUUGAUACUAUUUAUUCCCUCAACUCCUUCUUAUAAAUAUAUCAGUAAAAAAUCUAUUAAUUUUAAGAAAAACUAAUGAAAAGAGCUUGAAAACUUUAAGUUUUAAUGAUAAGGACAAAAUAAAGGGUAAAGUGAAUAGUACCAUGAUUGAUUUUUUAGUGUAAAAAUGUGGUUUUUCGUUAAAAUGAACAGUACCGAGUGUUUUUCGUUAAAGUUCCCUUAAUUUUAACCUAAAUUUCAUAAGAUAAAAUCUCUUGUUUUGAAUAAAAUUUCUCACAACGCAAUGAAACGGUGAAAAACCAAAGCUCAUUUCACAAGCAAUCAAAUGAAAACCAGAACGACCAGACAAAAUAACAAUACAACAACAACAACAACAAAGCCUUUUCCCACUAAGUGGGGUCGGCUAUAUGAAUCCUAGAACGCCAUUGCGCUCGGUUUUGUGUCAUGUCCUCCGUUAGAUCCAAGUACUCUAAGUCUUUUCUUAGAGUCUCUUCCAAAGUUUUCCUAGGUCUUCCUCUACCCCUUUGGCCCUGAACCUCUGUCCCGUAGUCACAUCUUCGAACCGGAGCGUCAGUCGGCCUUCUUUGCACAUGUCCAAAUCAUCGGAGCCGAUUUUCUCUCAUCUUUCCUACAAUUUCGGCUACUCCUACUUUACCUCGGAUAUCCUCAUUCCCAAUCUUAUCCUUUCUCGUGUGCCCACACAUCCCACGAAGCAUCCUCAUCUCCGCUACACCCAUUUUGUGUACGUGUUGAUGCUUCACCGCCCAACAUUCUGUGCCAUACAACAUCGCUGGCCUUAUUGCCGUCCUAUAAAAUUUUUCCCUUGAGCUUCAGUGGCCUACGACGGUCACACACAACACGCCGGAUGCACUCUUACACUUCAUCCAUCCAGCUCGUAUUCUAUGGUUGAGAUCUCCAUCUAAUUCUCCGUUCUCUUGCAAGAUAGAUCCUAGGUAGCGAAAACGGUCGCUUUUUGUGAUAUUCGCUAGAUUGCUCCGGUCAUUAGUGUGGAUAAGUAUAUAAAUGGAUAGAGAUAGGAAAGCAAACACAAGAUGUACGUGGUUCACCCAGAUUGGCUACGUCCACAGAAUAGAAGAGUUCUCAUUAAUUGUGAAGGGUUUACACAAGUACAUAGGUUCAAGCUCUCCUUUAGUGAGUACAAGUGAAUGAUUUUGUACAAAUGACAUUAGGAAAUAUUGUGGGAGAAUGAUCUCGUAAUCACGAAACUUCUAAGUAUCGGAGUGUGGUGUCGUCUUGACUUGCCUUAUCUGUCUCAUAGGUAGAUGUGGCAUCUUCUUCUCUGAAAGUACUCUUCCUCCAUCCAGGGGUGGUAUCUUUAACUGGUGGAGAUGCACAAGGUAAUGUAUCAAUUUCACUUGAAGCUUACUUGUAGUCUCAGGCUUGGUCAAGCGCGAUACAAACCAUGUAGUAGGAGUCCCCCAAGUCGCCGAGCUAGGGGGUCUGCUGAAAGAGGUGACAGACAAGGUAAGCAAUCAGAGCUCCGACUGAUUGUUCACCUUCUCCCCAUCUUGCAGCAGCAUGAAGGAUAAAGAGAAGAAAAAUGAGAAGAGAUGAUAUGAGAUACUUUUGCUUUUGAAGAAGUAACUUUCCACAGGCUUAUUCUUGAACUGAGCUGGAGGGUUUUCUGGUUUACGUGGCUAGAGUUUUUUAUUUUUUAUUUUUUGGGGGAAAAUAGAAAGACUGUUGUAAAUAGUGGGUAUGUUUGCCCACAUGUGUAUAGUAAAGUACUACAUGUGUAUAGUAAAUACUCACAUGUAUAUAGUAAGCCUUUCACUAUGUUGCUUGUGAUUUGCUUUUAUAAAAGCAAAUCUUAUGGAACACAACAAAAAAUAGGGAGAUGAAUGUGGGAGACUCACGGAAGAGAUAUGAAGGAAGAAAGGGAGAGAGAAAAGAGAGGAAGAGGAAGAGAGAAAAGAGAGGAAGAUGAUAGGAGAUAAUAGAGAGAGUUAUCUUUGUACUUUUAUUAUUUCAGAUUAUAAUGAAAGCACCACUGCUGUCCAGAGGACGUACUUCAGUCAUACUGACUGUAGAGGAACCUCGUAAAUUUUAUGUCUUAUUUAUUUAUUCUACUACAUACGCCGUCGAUUUUAUAACAAAGACUUCUAUGAAAUGAAAUAGUGUAAAAGGACUUGCAAGUCAAUUGACUUAUGGUUGACGGUGGCAGCACAGUAGGAAGUGUUUCUUCCUCACAUUAUAUAAGAGUACGGAACUAGAAGUAUAGAUCUAUGUAUGUUCUGUGGGAGGGAGGGGGGCCGAAGAAUUCUUCAUUCGGCCUCAUAAGUUUCUCAGCCUGAAUAUAUAGUCAUCUCUUGGAUCAUCCUGGUAAGUUUUCCUACCAAUUGUCUAUAAAUAUAAGAUUUAGAGGCAUUAUUAGUAUGAAAUUUCUUCUUUUUUUUUCUCUUCUAUUUUUCAUUAUAGUAUAUGCUGGAAAAUUGUGUAUAUUAAAUUGAACUCGGUUAGGUCAUCAUUUAGCCGAAUUAACGAAUUUCAAACCACCGUUUCAUUCUUACGAGACUUCUUUAUUCGCGAGCACAAACGUCACUACUUGUAGGAUUCGGUUGUAUGUAGCCCAAUUAAAUUGCUUACGUACUUUGUGCUAGAAAUAAAAAUCAAACCGAUGUAGUUCUCUCGCCUACACCUUGCAAGAAUCGAACUCGUAGGGAGGAAUUGUUUGAAGGAUGGAGGCUUGGAGGUUAAGCCAAACCCAUCCUCAUUGACAUAUUCUAUAUCUUUUAAUUUAUUUUCCAAUAAUUAAAAAAAAAGUAUUACUCAAAAGACAUUAGUAUAAUCCAUGUUCUAUACUGAGUGAAUUACUAUUUAUUCAAUAAAUACAUUAAAUAAACCUGACUUUCUAAAAUUUCUGUAUGGUUCCAAUAAUAAAUUUGGUAGUUUAAUUAAUUAACGUAUUGACACUAUUUGUAAUUUUUGUUCUUGUUAAUAUAUAAUAUUUGAUUAGGUGAGUCACAUCUGGAGUUUGAGAUAGUUGACGAUGACAGACUUAGCUGAGGAGAGCAAUAGUGCAAAUAGAGAUCACACUGUAAUUCAAGUAAGAGAGGAGGGAGAGAGAUGUAAGAUAGAAACGAGUGAUGUGGUUAACCAAAAAACAAAUAAAGACGAAUUAUUAGCGUCCCUCAUAAAAAAAAAGCUUCCGCAGGAAUUUCCAAAGCCAGAUCCUACUUGCAUAUUCAGAGUCCCUAAUAAACUUGGCAGGGACAAUGAAAAUGCUUUUGUCCCACAAGCGGUUCCAAUCGGGCCCUAUCACCACGGAGGAAAAAAGUUCGAAGCCAUGGAACAAAUUAAGCUAUGGAAUUUGCAAUGCCUCCUCAAACGCAAACCAACUCCAGACACCAGUUUGGUGAAGUUUGUCAAGGAAAUUCGAAGCAAAGAAGAGUUACUUCGUAACUGCUAUGACGAAAAGCUUGGUGAUCAUCUCAGUAGCGAUCAGUUUGUAGAAAUGAUGGUGGUCGAUGGUUGCUUUACUUUAGAACUUAUCCGCAAAAGGAAUCCGAUUUCCAGAGAUCAUGAUGUUUUCAGUAUGCCAGAGAUGUUGUGGAUGGUUGAAAAAGACUUGUUCCUGCUUGAAAACCAGCUCCCGUGGAAAGUUCUCGACUGUUUAUUCAACCUCACAAGAACUUCAAUAGAGAUUUCUCUACAACAACUUACUUCGGAAUUAAUUUGCCAAGUCAUGGAUAAUUCGUGUAUGCACACUUACUUCAUUUUACUAAUUAUGGAUAAUGAAAGGGAGACAUGGCAAUUCAGACAUUUACUUGACAAUGCAAGAGAUUAGCUCGUUGGAUCAUUAUCGAGGAAUAUGGACCGUCCACGUCCUUAUCGAUUUUGGGAUCCUAUUCCCUCAGUGACACAUGUUGAGGAGAUUGGAGUCAAAUUUCAAUGUGCAUCCUCGGAGACACAGCUGUUGGGCAUAACCUUCAACAAGAAAGAUGGAGUGAUGAAAAUUCCAUAUAUGAAAAUUGGAGCCAACACAGAAUGCGUCUUUAGAAACCUCAUAGCCUACGAACGGUGUUCAAUGAAUCCCCAUUACAUUUUGUCUUAUGCCAUGCUGCUGAAUCAGCUUAUCAAGUCUACCAAAGAUUUAGACUCUCUCGUUCGGAAAGAAAUUGUAGUAACCGACCUGAGCAAGGAAGACACUGUUUCUUUGUUGAAUAGGCUUUGCAAUGACACUGCAUUCAUUCCGUUCAUUUACUCUCAACUCUCCUUUGACGUGUAUUUCUAUAAUCGAGAUCGUUGGCUAAGGCGUUGGCUUGCAAGGAUCAAAAGGGAUUAUCUGUACAAUCCAUCGUCAAUCUGGUCAGUCUCAAAUGCGGUCAUCAUUAUUCUCAUUCUCACCACCAUGCAGACCCUAUAUAUGGUGUUCUCGCCUACCACAAUUAGUAACCUUCCAAUCAGUCAAUGUUCGCCGGAGGACAAAAAAUUCAACGAGACUUGUGUGACUGCAGGCAAAGUUAUGAAAUAAAGCAGUGCUGUAAUUGAUUAUGUGUGACAGUCAUACAGUUUGGAACUACCUUGCCAUUUAUUGUUUUCAACUUCUGGAUAAUUUGUAUAACUACUUGGUAUUUUUUUUUAUCAUCAUUCAACAGUUUAUCAUGAAUAUAUUACUUGGUAUGACGUUGAUUUGUUCUAUACAUUUACUAAAUAAUCUCCGAUUGAAGUGAUUUUUUGUUAGGAGUGAUCUUCAAAUGAAGAUUAAGAAAUUGAACGAUUCCGAUUAUAAAAUUUGUACGGUGAAAGGAACGUUAUUCAAAAAAUAAAUGCCAUAGCAUUGAAUUCGAUGAAGGUGGUUUUGCUUACGAAGCAAAGCCUGCAAAACCCUAGAGGAAGUUUGGAAGAAAACUCUGCAGUCUAUACAUUCCAUUCUGCAGACUGAUUGUGUUUAUUCUUCUUCUUCAUAGUAAAUUUCUAUGCAUUAGACUCAAAGAUUAUGUAAAGAACCAAAAAAAAAAACAAAAAAAUGAAGGAUCAUUACUCUGUAGGAGUUAGCGUGGUUUCCGAAUGUUGCUCACCCUCUGGUUCAGCAGGAGCCUCUGGUUUUGAUAAAACAGGGGCACUUGCAGCUGCAGCUCCAGCUGCGGUUGGUGAAUUAAUUUUUCCAUUCUUCGCAUCCUUUCCUUCCUUUGCAUCCUUUCCUCCUUUUCUCCUUUUGCAUCUUUUGUAUCCUUUCCAUCCUUUGAAUCCUUUACAUCCUUUCCUUCUUUUUCUCCCUUUGCAUCCUUGCCAUCUUUGGCAGGUGGGGGCAGCAUCAUGUGUGGCGGAGGGUUCUGUUUCAACUUCAGGAAAAUCUACCGCAUCCUUGAAAGAUCAGUCGGUUUACCAGGUUUUGGGCCCUGGUGAAAACAAUUGGGGGUUGCUUGUCAGGAUCUUUCUACCCUCUCUUCUUCUCAAUAUUAGGAACCUCACGAGGAAUCAUUUGUCAGCUUCUUUGUGGAACUUCUCUUGGUUGGCCAGGUACAGCUGCACAGAAAGUCAAAUUCACGCCAUAGAUAUGAAGCACUGAUGGUAAUCGUAGAAUGCAUGUACAAGCGAGCAAGGGAGAGGGAGGGAGGGUGAGAGAGUUAGGACUGUGGAAGAUGUAGAACAACAUGAUGGGUUUUAGAAUUACUACCUUCUCCCUCUCUCUGUUGUGAGCUUUGUUAGUUUCACAAUUGAGCUUCCGUUUCUCAUAGAAGGCCCGCUUAAAUUCUUCAGCUUCCUCGAUAAUUUGGUUCCGCAUCUCCCUUUAGCUUUUUUCCUUUUCCUCUAGAUGAAUGACAUUUAGGCUGCAAGUAUUAACGCCAUCAGUGCAGGGGAAAACACUGGGAAAAAAAAAAAGAUGUGAUUUCUGAACUCAUUUGUUUAAAAUAAUUAUAAGAAGCAAAACCAACAAGCUUUCAUUAUCUCGUUUGGUUAAGCAUCUAACAAGUAAAACCAAUAAUGCAGAGACCCAGGAGUUCACUAUGUUCUCAGGCUCUCGGCCAACCAUACAAGGAACUCCAACGUUGGUUUAACCAUAAAGGUAUGAAAAUCUACAGGAUUGGGUGAUCGCAAUAGAAAAAAUUAGUAUAAAAAUGUUGCAUAGCCUAGUACGAUAGUACAAUGGAAUGGAAUCUGGGAAACGCUAGCACUUGGAACCCCUUAAUCCUGAAAGAAGCAAUAUACACAGCUAACAUGGAAUCCACUGGCAAUUCAACAACAUCUAGUUUCUAUCCAGUGAACCAGAAGUGAAUAUUAGGUUCCUUUUAAAGACUAGAAGAGUCAUUGUAAUCCAUCUUAAAUGAUGGUCUGUUACCUGCCAUUAGUUCCUAUACCAACGGUCGGAAUCAGACGAAUUAGUACAUAUGCAAUGAUCCGGUCAAGAUCUGAGCUCAUUUUUCAACCUCAACGGAGGUAACCGCGAAGUAACAACAUAGGGCAGAUCCCAUGGAAGCUAUUAGACAAUUAGUAAAAGAUGAAUGCUUACAAAACUGAAAACAAAAACAUUUAAUCAAAGAAAAAAAUACAUACUUGAUCACAAAGGGCUUGCAGCCUUGCAAACUUGCAGACAAAAACCCCAAUAUUCGAAGACCAACGUUUCCUGAAAGCAAAAAUCAAACCAGAUCAGACAACCAAAAGCAAAUCACCAAAAAAAUUUAAAUCAGGUACACAAAAAUAAAACCAGUUCGAUAUUGAGACCUUAAGAAAUCUUGGCGUCGGGGACGUCGUUGACCGAGUGCUUCUUAUCCUCGAACUGGAGCUGGUGACCACCGGGAAGUUCGCUGUUCUGUUUGGCCAAGAAUUUGGAGCUUCGGAGAGAAAGCUAUGCAGGAAAAUUAAAGUAGAUGGAGUUGACGAAGGGUAGCUAAAUCGGAGUUGGACGAUAACGGCAAAUGGAGAACGAAGGGUUUCUGGGAGAGAGAGGGAGAGAGAACAACAGAGAAAAAGGGAGAGGGAGCAAACGAAACCAAAACCACAGAAGCCAAAACAAUCGAACUCGAAUUAGAGGAAAACAAGUGACAAGCAACAGAAGGAAAACUAGUGAAAUGAAAGGGAAGAUUGCCAGAAGACGUUGCGAUGGUCGACAGGUGGAGAGGAAGGGCAAAAACGCCUUUUUACUGUAGAGAAUCCUAAACAAAAGGCAGCCAGCACAGCAUUGUAAGGGCAUUUUCAUCAGUUUGGGUUUUAUGUUGUGACCUGUGAAUAAUAUUUGGAUGGUCCACAUGAAUAGUUUAUUACUAUGUAUGUACAGUAUUUUUACUAUUUAUUUGUGAAAAAUUUGUAAAGUAAAUAGUGUAAAAAGACUUGCAAGUCUAUUGACUUUGAGUGUUGAGAGUCUUUCAUUCUAAUAUUGUAUGAGUUUGGAACUCAUAAUUUUCUUCAUCCGACCUCAUAAGUUUCUCAAAGUUGGAUGGAUCAUCCUGGUAAGUUUUCCUACCAAUUGCCUACAAAUAUUGGACGUUUUAGAUCUCGAGGAAUUAUUAGUAUGAAAUUUCUGUUUUUUCUAUUUUUAAUUAUAGUUUAUUCUGAAAAAUUAUGUAUAUUAAAUGGAUCCCACCUAGUGGAAUAAUGAAAUUCAAACCUCUCAUCUUGUUCUUGCGAGUCUUCUUUGUUCGCGAACACAAAAAUCAUUACUUGUAGAAUUCGGUUGCAUCUAGCUUAGUUAGAUUGCUUAUGUACCAUGUUCUCUCACACCAACAUAUCUAGGCUUCUCCUUGCUAGAUUCGAACUCCAAGGAGAGAGAUUUGUGUCAAGGCUGUCUGUGAGGGAGAAAUUCCACGAAGGAAUUUUGGCUCAUAACCAUGCCCAAUGACUUGUAUAUAGUAUGAUAUUGACAAACUUUUGGUACACUAAUUAUUCAAUUCACAUAGUAUGAUAUUGACAAUGCCAUUCUUACUGGCCAUUUAUUUUAGGGAACUUUAACGAAACGCUCAUAGUACAGUUCACUUUAACGAAAAACCACAUUUGUACACUAAAAAGUCAAUCAUGGUACUAUUCACUUUACCAUUUAUUUUGUCCUUAUCAUUAAAACUCAAAAUUUUCAAAUCUUUUUUUAUUAGUUUUCCUUUUAUUUUAUUCCCAAAUCUGAAUUCUUUUUAAACUUUUAUUCACUGAUGCUUUUAGCCCAAAACCCUUUUAAGCCUUCAAUUAGGCCUUUAGCCCAACCUAUUUUUAAAAGUUUAAAAUUACCAACAACAAAAAUUAAUAAUUCAUAAUUCACAUUUCAUACAUAUAUAGUAACUCAAGUCAUGCACAAAAAUUUAAGAUAAAAGCUAAGUUACAAAUUAAAUACAAGUUAAAUUAUAAACCAAAUGAAACGUGAAAAGUAUCUGAAUUUCAAAAUUUAUUCCAGGCACCAUUUUCUUCGAUCUUAAGAUGUAAAAGCAUUUGGAUAAGGCAUGGAUAUAAAACUACCAUAUUUGGUGUUGCUAAUGCCUUAAUCUUCUCUGAUAAAAAACACUUAUAUUCUGUAAAUUAAACAGAAAAUUUGAUUAUCAUCUUUUAAUACAUGUACAUAUAAUUAAUCUAAAGAGUACCUUUCUCGUUAUAACCCGCUCGAACCCAACCCAAUUUCAACCUAUUCAUUGAUUGGAUUGAGUUGGGUUGAUUAUUUGCCUGUUCAUCUCUAACCCAACUCAACCCAACUAGCGAAACUCAAUCUAACAAAAUUGUAACCCAUAUCAAUUAAUGCUCAUACUACACCCAAGUGAGCCAGGUCCAAAAACCAACGCGCUUUCUAAUAUUUUUUUUAAUAAAUUACCCUUUAUAAUUACUUAACCUUUUAGGGAAUAAGAGACUUUAAUUAGUCAGCUCAUAUUUGUAGUCUCUAAAUCCUAAAGCUUUAUAGUAGAUGAAUUUAUGAAAUUAAAGUUAGCUAGCUUUAAUGCUACUUGGCUUAAUUUUUUUAGGAAUUCUUAAAAACUAAGUUGUUACAAGAUUAAACUUGAAAAAGUUGGGCAACCCAAACCCAACCUAAGUAAACCCUAACCCAAUUAAACCCAAGCCCAAAUGAACCCGAAUGAAACCUAACUCGAACCUAAGCUCAAAUUGUAAAAGUUGGGUUAGAAUUGGGUUGACCUUCCAAUCCACCCAGCCCGCUUGAGUUGCACCCCUAAAUAAUGUCAAGGUUUUAGACGGGAUAAAUAAGCAGGUGUAAGGAAGAUAAAAUAGGUGGGGCCAGAUUAAUAGUCCGGUGCUUAUUUAGUAAAAAAAUUCAUGAAACACCUGCUUCGCAUUAUAUAAUACUAUCUGAUGUCUUAUACAGUGUGCCAAACGAGGCCAUAGAGUAUUAAAAUUGGGACCGAAAACAGAUUUCAAAACUUUCAGAUUAUAACCUAAAGAGUAUUUUUUAGGCCCUCAAGUUUAAAUGCCCCAUUAAGUCCAACCAUUGAAUAAUUUUAAUUCAUGCUUUCAAAAUCAUCAAAUUCUACAAUUUCAAGAGAAACCUCUAUGUAUAUUUGUCUUGCUAGGGGUUAGGUGGAGGUUUGGAUCUUAACCCAAGCCUAUCAUCCUUGGCAUAUUCUAUAUCUUUUAAUUUAUUUUCCAGUAAUUAAAAAUAUUUUACCAAAGAGAGUAUAAAUAUAUUGGAUGGAUUGUUGUUUAUUUAGUAAAUACAUUAAAUAAAUCUAGCAGUAUAAAAUUUCUGUACGGUUCCAAUAAUAAAUUUGGUAGUUUAAUUAAUUAAUGUGUUGAUAUUGUUUGUAAUUUUUGCUCUUGUUAAUAUAAAAUUCCAGAUUAGGCAAGUCACAUUUGAGUUGGAAAGAUUUGACAAUAACAGACUCAGCUGAUGGGAGCAAUGCAAACUGUGACCACUCCGUAAUUGAAGUAAGAGAGUAGGUAGAGAGAUGUGAGAUAGAAAUAAGUGAUGUGGGUAACCAAACUUUGAGCGGAAACAAAAACAAUCAAGACGAAUUAUUAGCGUCCCUCAUCGAAACAAAGCUUCCCCAGAAAUUAUCAGAAGCAGAUCCUACUUGCAUAUUUAGAGUCCCUAAUAAACUUGCCAGGGACAAUGAAAAUGCUUUUGUUCCACAACUGGUUUCAAUCGGGCCGUAUCACCACGGAGGAAAAAAGUUGCAAGCUAUGGAACAAAUUAAGCUAUGGAAUUUGCAACGCCUCCUCGAUCGCAAACCAACUCCAGACACCAGUUUGGUGAAGUUUGUCAAAGAAAUUAGAAGCAGAGAAGAGUUUCUUCGUAGCUGCUAUGACGAAAAGAUUGAUCAUCUGAGUAGCGAUCAGUUUGUAGAAAUGAUGGUGGCCGAUGGUUGCUUUAUUAUACAAGUUAUCCGCGCAUGCAUGGUGAAUAAAGAUCGUGAUCCUUAUGGUGUUUUGAGUCUGCCAGGGAUGUUGUCGAGAGUUCAAAACGACUUGUUUCUGCUUGAAAACCAGCUUCCGUGGAAAGUUCUCGACUGCUUAUUCAACCUCACAACAUCAGACAAGUCUUCUCUACAUGAACUCACUUUGGACCUAACUUGCGAAAUUAUGAAUAAUCCGAUUAUUACUUAUUACUUAGGAUACAAAUUUAUGGAUAAGCUUAGGACGACAUGGCAAUUUAGACAUUUACUCACCAAUGUAAGAGAUUUGCUUGUUGGAUCAUCAACGAGGAAUGAGGACAUUGAGGAGAUGCGUUACAAAUACUGGACUGCUAUUCCCUCAGUGACACAUCUUGAGGAAAUUGGAGUCCAAUUUCAAUGUGCACCCCUGCAUACAUGUCUGUUGAACAUAAAUUUCAACUUCGAAAAGGGAGUGAUGGAAAUUCCGUGGAUGAAAAUUCGAGCGAACACAGAAUCUCUCUUCAGAAACCUCAUAGCAUACGAACAGUGUUCACUGAUGCCCCAUUACAUUUUGUCCUAUGCCACGAUGUUCAAUCAGCUCAUCAAGUCUACCAAAGAUUUAGACCAUCUCAUUCAGAAAGGAAUUAUAUACACCGAGUUGAGCAAGGAGGACACUGUUUUUUUGUUCAGAAGGCUUUGCAAUGACACUGAAUGUAUCUCGUUCCUUUACUCUAAACUCGCAAACGAUGUGGAUAGAUAUUCGCACUGUCAUUGGCGAAGGAGUUGGCUUGCAGGGAUCAAAAGGGAUUAUCUAUACAAUCCAUCGUCAAUCUGGUCAGUUUCAAAUGCGGUCAUCAUUGUUCUCAUUCUUACCAUCAUACAAACCGUAUAUAGUGUUCUCGCCUACUACAAACAGUAAUUAAAACUGAACAAGACUUGCUUGACUGCAGGCAAAGUUAUGAAAUAAUCACUCUUUGAGUUUGCAUUUGUUUGGCUAUUUUCCAUAUAAAAUAAAGCGGUGAUGUAAUUGAUUAUGUGUAACAGUCAUACACUGAAACUAUCUUGCCAUUUAUUGUUUUCAACUUUUGGAUAAUUUGUACCACUAUUUGGUAUUUGUUUAUCAUCAUUCAACACUUCAUCAUUAAGAAUAAUGAAAUUGGUGUUUUCAUUCAUUUGAAUGACUAAAUGAUUUCCGAUUAAAAUAAUUUUUUGUCACGGUGAUCUUUCAAAUGAAAAUUAAGAAAUUGAACGAUUCUAAUUAUGAAAUUUGUACGAUCAAAGAUAUGUUUUUCACAAGGGAGGAAUGAGCUUAUCCCCCAAGGGAGAAUGCAAGUUUAUGCAAAAAAAAUAAAUGUGAAAAAUUGAAUUCGAUGAAGUUGUUUUCCCUUAGAAACUAAGCCUACAAAACCCUAGAGCAAGUUAGGAAGAAAAUAUCUGCAGUCUGUACAUUCCAUGCUGCAGACUCUGGAUCAUUGACAAAUGAUUUUGUUUAUUCUUCGUAGUAAAUUUCUAAGCAAUAGAAUCAAAGAUAACGUAAAAAAUGAAAAAAAAUAUGAAGGGUCAUUACUCCGCAGGAGUUGGCGUGGCUUCCAAAUGUUGCUCACCCUCUGGUUCAGCUGAAGCCUCUGGUUUGAUGAGCCGGGAGUACCAUUGGCAGUGACAUCUUUGGCAGGUGAAACAGGUGCGCUUGCAGCUGCAGCUCCAGCUGCGGUUGGUGAAUUAAUUUUUCCAUUCUUCGCAUCCUUUCCUUCCUUUGCAUCCUUUCCUCCUUCCUUGGCAUCCUUUGUGUCCUUUCCUCCUUCCUUGGCAUCCUUUGCGUCCGUUCCUUCUUCCUUUGCGCCCUUUCCUCCCUUUGCAUCUUUUGUAUCAUUGCCAUCCUUUGACUCCUUUCCAUCUUUUUCUCCCUUUGCAUCCUUACCAUCUUUGGAAGGUGGGGGUGGCAUCAUGUGCGGCGGUGGGUUCUGUUUCAGCUUCAGGAAAAUCUGCCGCAUCCUUGAAAGAUCAGUCGGUUUACCAGGUUUUGGGCCCUGGAUGACAACAAUUGAGGGCUUCUUGUCAGGAUCCUUCUUCCCUCUCUUCUUCUCAAUAUUAGGAACCUCACGAGGAAUCAGCUCCGCUAUUGCUUUCCAGUAAUGUUUGUCAGCUUCUUUGUGGAACUUCUCUUGGUUGGCCAAGUACAGCUGCACAGAAAGUCAAAUUCACGUCUUAGAUAUGAAGCACUGAUGGUGAUCGAAGAAUGCAUGUACAAGCAAAUAAGGGAGAGGGAGGGAGGGUGAGAGAAUUAUGAUUACGGGAGAGGUAGAACAACAUGAUGGGUUUUUAGAAUUACUACCUUCUCCCUUUCUCUGUUGUGAGCUUUGUUAGUUUCACAAUUGAGCUUCCGUUUCUCGUAGAAGGCCCGCUUAAAUUCUUCAGCUUCCUCAAUAAUCCGGUUCCGCAUCUCCCUUUCCCUUUUUUCCUUUUCCUCUAGAUGAAUGACAUUUAGGCUGCAAGUAUUGAGCCAACAGGUCAAAUCAAAAUAUUUUCAAUGACUUUUAUCAGUGCAAGGGAAAACAUGUGAUUUCUGAACUCAUUUGUUUCAAAUAAUUAUACAAAGCAAAACCGACAAGCAAUAUACCUAAAUUCAGAAACCCAUAUUCCCAAAAGAAGCAAUAUACCUAGGUAACAUGGAACCCAUUGGCAAUUCAACAUCUAGUUUCUAUCCAGUGAACCAGAAGUGAAUCUUAGGUUCCUCUUAACGACUAGACAUUGUCUCCAUGUAAUAUCAUGGCCUGUUACUUGCCAUUAGUUCCGAUACAAAUGGUCGGAAUCUGCUAACGAAAACAAUCAAAAAAGGAAAGACGAAUUCGCACAUAAGCAAUGAUCCAGUCAAGAUCUAAGCUCAUUUUGCAAGCAAAUCAAUCAAAGUUACCCCAUUUCAAAUCUACACGCACAAAAACUCCUACAGUAAAGACGACUUUUUUACUUACCCUCAUAUCCCACUUACCAAAUACUUGGACUAAGCUCAACAUCGUUAAUUCAGACCCCAAACUAAUAAGAACAAGAUGUUAUUUAAGCCCCUUAAUCCCAUGCAUGCACAACAUUAUUAAUCAUAAAACAGCUUUUAAAUCCAACUUAAUCAAAUAAUUAGUGUCAUGGUUAUAAUUAAGCUCUGUGUUUGCAAGCGAACAACUUCCAUUCAGAAUCGGAAUCUUUAAUAAUUAUAUGGUCAAAUUAACAAAUUAGGAUCUGAGCUCACCGACGCCACUCACGGCGAGCAAAGCCUUCCUCCCGCAUCUCCUCGGGCGGAGGCAGUACCGGCUCACCGGAGGCGAAAAUGUCCCCGUCGUCAUCAGCAAUGCCGCCACCGCCACCCACGACGCCAUUGUCCUCGGGCACCGCCGAAUCAAAAGGUGACACGAAUUCCGGGUUAGGGGUGGAAAUGCCGAAGCCGUACACCUCGGGGGACUGCUGCUGCUGAUCAAUGUUGUGGUGGCCGUCGCCACCGGGGAGAACGACGUCGUCCUGGAAAUCAGAGUGGAGGGGAGGGGGAGGGUCGACGGCGGCGGGGGAGAAGUCGUCGUGGUGGGUGGGAGGGUUGAACGACGAGUCGUAGUUAUGGGAAGGAAGGCCGGGGUCGUGAGCCAUGUAGGCAUCGUCGUCGAAGGGCUGGCCGGCGGGGGAGUGGCUGUGGAGGUCGUUGGAUUCGUCGUCGUUGGGGAAGGAGUCGAAGGACGACAUCGUUCAGAGGGGAAACGGUCUUGUCGCAGAGUAAUUGAGGUAAUGGCCUUAAAGCUUGUUUUGAUCAAGUGCGAUCGGCAUGUUCGGAUCGAGAGAGAGAGUGCGUGGCAGUGAAUGAUCAUUUAGUGUAUGAUCAUAUGAGAGUUUCUCUCUCUGUCGCUCGGAAUUGCUACGUGUGUUGGAGCCAUAAUUGUUGGUGCGAUGGGAGCAUUUGGAGUUGCUACGUGCAUUUGUAGUUCGAAUCUUUUGGCAUUCAUUUGUGCAUGGGGACUCUUGUGACUAUCUUGAAAAUUUGACACCUAUUCAUUCACCUAACAAAACUUAAUACUUGUUAAGUCUUCUGUUAUCUCCUAUUUAAUUAAAAAAUUAAAUGAGAAGCGAUGCAAAAGGCAAUCUAAUGCGAGGUGUAUUUUUCAAUUUUUUUUUUCUUUCUAAUUUUUUGUCAUUUUUCCUGCAUACCCUGAGAUUUGAAUAUCAGACUCCCAAAGUGUUGAUUUUUGAGUUCAACGAAGUGUGUAUAUUUUUCAUAAACAAGAAUUACAAGACAAAGGUCUCAUAAAAGGAGACAAAGCAAGGAAGAAAAAACCUACCCAAUAAACAAAUGCAAACAGCUACAUAGUAGUAACUAGAGAGAGAAAA